CAUCAGCAUUUCAUUAAUUCGCCCUUGGUCUGUUGUGUUCCAGAAAUGAAUGAUUAGGUGAUUGUGUGUGCUGGUGCAGGUGAUUGUGGGGAGCUUCAUGUACGCGGGGUCGAAGAAGAGCAGGAAGGGUAAGGCCGGGCAGGAGUCUGCUGCAGCGGAGGAAGAACAGACCGGCGAUGCCAACGGGGGCAGGGGCGGAGACGGAGUCGGAGUUGGAGGCGAGGCGGAGGAAGAGGGCCCUUCGCCGCUGAUGCCGAUGCCCCGCGGAGAGGAGGAGCUGCCGUCGGACGCGAUGAUGAGCGGGUGGACGGGCAUGAUGCGGCAGAUGGAGUCGCGGUCCUGCGGCGGCAUCGACAUCAACUCGAUCCGGGAGUGAAGGAUGUAGACUGUUUAAUUAGUUUGGUACGGCGGAAGUUGAGCCUAGGCUAGCUUAGCUAGUGGAUGAUGGAUGGAUGAUUCUAGGGUUUGGUUGGGCUGGUUGUGUUCCUCUCCUGCGUGGGUUUAAAAAGAAGUCUAGUUAGUAUAAUGAAUGUUGUCGUCGACUAUGAUCAGUUUAACCGAUGAUGUUGGCGCCGGUCGGUCGGGCUGAUCUAUGAUGGAAAUAGUGGAUUCGGUUGUUGGUUGAUGGUGUGGUCUGGUAUGGUAUGGUAUGGUAUGAUGUAGUUAUAGGCAGCAGCAAUGAGCAACUUGUUUGUAGCUAGUCUCUUUCUUGGUUGCAGACAGACAGACAGACUUUGACAGUUUUAUUUUCCUUUCUCUUCUUGUGUUUGCAUCCCCUUUGCUUCUUUCUUUUCCUUCUUACUAGCAAAUAUGCUUGUGCGUUGCAACGGGAAAACUAGCAAACAUGCUUGUGCCGUUGUGCGUUGCAAUGGGAAAAUGCAGGGUGUGAAAUUAGGUUCAGAUACAUAAAUAUUCUAGUGGUGCGAUAUCAAUCAUGUCCAACAUGUACCUUCAUGAUCCUAGCUAGCUACUCCAUCCGUUCCGAUUUACUCGUCGUGGUUUUAGUUCAAAUUUGAACUAAAACCACGACGAGAAAGUAAAUCGGAACGGAGGGAGUAGAUAGCAUUGGCACCUUUUUUUUUUACCGUUAAAUAAUAUUUUUCUUUAUCCGCAAAAAAAUAUUCUUUUUCUUUCUCCACCCAUUAUCUCAACCUCAAUUCAAACCCGCCAUCGAAUAAAUGGAAGCAAUAGUCUUCGGUCACCUUACCUGGCACCUGGUGUCUUUGCCUAUUAGUUCUGAAUAUGCAAUAAAGAUUUUCCAUACUACAAGAAUUUAUCAUCAAGCUUGAUGCAUAAAGAAUUUGUCACCUAGAGUUAACAAAAUCUUUUGGUCUCUGACGCCAUGAACCAGAGGAGAGAGCCUUGUGCAUGCUGGUGACGGAAGCAAUGAGCGUCUUGCAGAACAUGCGGGGUGCUUUCACGUCAUCGCUGUCCUCUUUGUUGGGGCGGGGUGCUUCAAUAGUGUCAGUCCCAAAUUUCCUCGUUGUUCCCUUCUAGUCCUACACUCCCACUUCAAGCAUCCACCUUAUUGUAACCAUUAGCAGCACAUACUCCCUCUGUUCCGAUUUACUCUUCGUGGUUUUAGUUCAAAUUUGAACUAAAACGACGACGAGUAAAUCGGAACGGAGGGAGUACUUUUGAUGAUUCAACUGACAUUAACCGCAUCCGCCUUCCUGUAACCAUUACCAGCGCAUAUCUUUGAUGAUUCAACUGACAUUAACCAUGUCAAAUUCAGAUUAGUGCGCCAAUCCCUCCCUCCCCGCCCCAACCAUCAGCGACCCUUUUGUGUUUGGGCAAAUCACUGCCUCUUCUCUCCUAUCGGGUUUGGGAUUGUUUUCACAAGAGUAAUGCACUGAGGAUAAAUACCAUCAGGUAGGUAGUAUCCUUUGUUAUAGUGGUGACCAUUGAUCUCAAUAUUGAACUCUGGGCAGUUGCCUUCUGCAAGCCUUUCAAACACCAGAGAACGCUGAAGCACGUUGAUGUCAUUGUGAGAGCCGGCCGUGCCAAAAAAAGAGUACCAAAUUCAAAGAUCUUGUGAAGCACGGCCUCAAGUAUGACAUUGCAAACUUUCACAUGACCUCUAGACUGCCCCUGCCAAGCAGAUGUGCGGUUCUUCCACUUGCAGUGCUUACAAUCUGUGUGCGACCAAGCAUCCUUGGAAAGCCCCUAUCUGCAUUGAUCGCCAACAACCUGGUGCAACAGUUGGCUCUCUCAAGUACUUCCGGCCAAACACCACUAGCACAAUCUUGCAGAACCUGUACAUGGAUUUGUUGGGGAACGUACCAGAAAUUCAAAAUUUUCCUACGUGUCACCAAGAUCUAUCUAUGGAGAAACCAGCAACGAGGGGAAGGAGAGUGCAUCUACAUACCCUUGUAGAUCGCUAAGCGGAAGCGUUCAAGUGAACGGGGUUGAUGGAGUCGUACUCGUCGUGAUUCAAAUCACCGAUGAUCCUAGUGCCGAACGGACGGCACCUCCGCGUUCAACACACACGUACAGCCCGGUGACGUCUCCCAUGCCUUGAUCCAGCAAGGAGAGAGGGGAGAGGUUGAGGAGGACUCCAUCCAGCAGCAACACAACGGCGUGGUGGUGGUGGAGGAGCGUGGCAAUCCUGCAGGGCUUCGCCAAGCACCUGCGGGAGAGGAGGAGGUGUCACGGGAGGGAGGGAGGUGCCAGGGACUCAGGUGUGGCUUCCCCUCCCUCCCCUCCCUUUAUAUAGGUGCAAGAGAGGGGGGAGGGCGCAGCCUUGCCCCUUCCUCCAAGGAAGGGGUGCGGCCAAGAGGGGGGGAGGAGUCCAUCCUCCCCAAGGCACCUCGGAGGUGCCUUCCCCCCUUUGGACUCUUCCCUCCCCAAGUCUCCUUGGUGCAUGGGCCUCUUGGGGCUGGUGCCCUUGGCCCAUAUGGGCCAAGGCGCACCCCCUACAGCCCAUGUGGCCCCCCGGGGCAGGUGGACCCCCCCGGUGGACCCUCGGACCCCUUUCGGCACUUCCGGUACAAUACCGAUAAUGCGCGAAACUUUUCCGGCGACCAAAAUAAGACUUCAUAUAUAUAAAUCUUUAUCUCUGGACCAUUUCGGAACUCCUCAUGACGUCCGGGAUCUCAUCCGGGACUCCGAACAACAUUCGGUAACCACAUACAAACUUCCUUUAUAACCCUAGCGUCAUCGAACCUUAAGUGUGUAGACCCUACGGGUUCAGGAACCAUGCAGACAUGACCGAGACGUUCUCCGGUCAAUAACCAACAACGGGAUCUGGAUACCCAUGUUGACUCCCACAUGUUCCACGAUGAUCUCAUCGGAUGAACCACGAUGUCAAGGACUCAAUCGAUCCCGUAUACAAUUCCCUUUGUCUAGCGGCAUUGUACUUGCCCGAGAUUUGAUCGUCGAUAUCCCGAUACCUUGUUCAAUCUCGUUACCGGCAAGUCUCUUUACUCGUCCCGUAACACAUCAUCCCGUGAUCAACCCCUUGGUCACAUUGUGCACAUUAUGAUGAUGUCCUACCGAGUGGGCCCAGAGAUACCUCUCCGUCACACGGAGUGACAAAUCCCAGUCUCGAUUCGUGCCAACCCAACAGACACUUUCGGAGAUACCUGUAAUGCACCUUUAUAGCCACCCAGUUAUGUUGUGACGUUUGGUACACCCAAAGCAUUCCUACGGUAUCCGGGAGUUGCACAAUCUCAUGGUCUAAGGAAAUGAUACUUGACAUUUAGAAAAGCUUUAGCAUACGAACUACACGAUCUGUGCUAGGCUUAGGAUUGGGUCUUGUCCAUCACAUCAUUCUCCUAAUGAUGUGAUCCCGUUAUCAAUGACAUCCAAUGUCCAUGGUCAGGAAACCGUAACCAUCUAUUGAUUAACGAGCUAGUCAACUAGAGGCUUACUAGGGACAUGGUGUUGUCUAUGUACCCACACAUGUAUCUGAGUUUCCUAUCAAUACAAUUAUAGCAUGGAUAAUAAACGAUUAUCAUGAACAAGGAAAUAUAAUAAUAACUAAUUUAUUAUUGCCUCUAGGGCAUAUUUCCAACAGUAUCCCACUUGCACUAGAGUCAAUAAUCUAGUUCACAUCGCCAUGUGAUUAACACUCACAGGUCACAUCGCCAUGUGACCAACAUCCGAAGAGUUUACUAGUGUCAUUAAACUAGUUCACAUCAUCAUGUGAUUAAGACUCAAUGAAUUCUGGGGUUUGAUCAUGUUUUGCUUGUGAGAGAGGUUUUAGUCAACGGAUCUGAACCUUUCAGAUCCGUGUGUGCUUUGCAAAUUUCUAGGUCAUAUUAUAAAUGCUGCUUCCACGCUCCAUUUGAAACUAUUCCAAAUGGUUGCUCCACUAUACGUAUCCGGUUUUCUAUUCAGAGUCAUUCGGAUAGGUGUCAAAGCUUGCAUCGACGUAACCCUUUACGCCGAACUCUUUAUCACCUCCAUAAUCGUGAAACAUGUCCUUAUUUACUCCAAGGACAAUUUUGACCGCUGUCCAAUGAUCCCCAUUCCUGGAUCAUUCUUGUACCCCUUGACUGACUCAUGGCAAGGCACACUUCCGGUGCGGUACACAUCAUAGCAUACUAUAGAGCCUACGUCUAAAACAUAGGGGACGACCUUCGUCCUUUCUCUCUUUUCUGCCGUGGUCGAGCUUUAAGUAUUAACUUCAUACCUUACAUCUCAGGCAAGAACUCCUUCUUUGACUGAUCCAUCUUGAACACCUUCAAGAUCAUGUCAAGGUAUGUGCUCAUUUGAAAGUAUCAUUUAGCGUUUUCGAUCUGUUCUCAUAGAUCUUGAUGCUCAAUGUUUAAGCAGCUUAAUCCAGGUUUUCACUUGAAAAACACUUUUCAAAUAACCCUAUAUGCUUUACAGAAAAUUCUUCAUCAUUUCUGAUCAUCAAUAUGUCAACGACAUAUACUCAUCAGAAAUUCUAUAGUGCUCCCACUCACUUCUUUGGAAAUACAAGUUUCUCACAAACUUUGUAUAAACCCAAAAUCUUUGAUCAUUUUAUCAAAGCGUAUAUUCCAACUCCGAGAUUCUUACUCCAGUCCUUAGAAGGAUCGCUGGAGCCAGCAUACCUUUUAGCAUCCUUAGGAUCGACAAAAACUUUCUGAUUGUAUCACAUACAACCUUUCCUUACAAAACUGGUAAGGAAACUCAUUUUGACAUCCAUCUGCCAGAUUUCAUAAAUGUAGCUAAUGCUAACAUGAUUCCGACGGACUUAAGCAUCACUAGGAUGAGAAAAUCUCAUUGUGGUCAACUCCUUGAACUUGUGAAAAACUCUUCGCCACAAGUCGAGCUUCAUAGACGGUGACAUUACCGUCCACGUCCGUCUUCUUCUUAAAGAUCCAUUUAUCUCAAUGGCUUGCCGAUCAAUGGGCAAGUCCACCAAAGUCCAUGCUUUGUUCUGAUACAUGGAUCCUAUCUCGGAUUUCAUGGCUUCUAACCAUUUGUUGGAAUAUGGGCCCACCAUUGCUUCUUCAUAGCUCGCAGGUUCAUUGUUGUCUAGCAACAUGACAUUCAAGACAGGAUCACCGUACCAAUCCGAAGCAGUACGCGUCCUUGUCGUCCUACGAGGUUCGGUAGUGACUUGAUCUGAAGCUUCAUGAUCACUAUCAUAAGCUUCUACUUCAAUUGAUGUAGGUGCCACAGGAACUUCCUGUGCCCUGCUACACACUGGUUGAAGUGAUGGUUCAAUAACCUCAUCAAGUCUCCACCAUCCUCCCACUCAAUUCUUUCGAGAGAAACUUUUCCUCGAGAAAGGACCCGUUUCUAGAAACAAUCCCUAUUGCUUUCGGAUCUGAAUUAGGAGGUAUACCCAACCGUUUUGGGUGUCCUAUGAAGAUGCAUUUUAUCCGCUUUGGGUUCGAGCUUAUCAACCUGAAACUUUUUCACAUAAGCGUCGCAGCCCCAAACCUUUAAGAAACGACAACUUAGGUUUCUCCAAACCAUAGUUCAAAUGGUGUCGUCUCAACAGAAUUACGUGGUGCCCUAUUAAAGUGAGUGCGGUUGUCUCUAAUGCCUAACCCAUGAACGAUAGUGGUAAUUCGAUAAGAGACAUCAUGGUACGCACCAUAUCCAAUAGGGUGCAACUAUGAUGUUCGGACACACCAUCACACUAUGGUGUUCCAGGCGGUAUUAAUUGUGAAACAAUUUCUACGGUGUCUUAAUUGCGUGCCAAAGCUCGUAACUCAGAUACUCAUCUCUAUGAUCAUAUCAUAGACAUUUUAUCCUCUUGUCACAAUGAUCUUUAACUUCACUCUGAAAUUACUUGAACCAUUCAAUUAUUCAGACUUUGUGUUUCAUCAAGUAAAUAUACUCAACAUCUACUCGAAUCAUCUGUGAAGUCAGAACAUAAUGAUAUUCACUGCAUGCCUCAGCACUCAUUGGACUGCACACAUCAAAAUGUGUUACUUCCAACAGGUUGCUACCUUGUUCCAUCUUACUGAAACCGAGGCUUUUCAGUCAUCCUGCCCAUGUGGUAUGAUUUGCAUAUCUCAAGUGAUUCAAAAUCAAGUGAGUCCAAACGAUCCAUCUGCAUGGAGUUUCUUCAUGCAUAUACACCAAUAGACAUGGUUUGCAUGUCUCAAACUUUUCAAAAACGAGUGAGUCCAAAGAUCCAUCAACAUGGAGCUUCUUCAUGCGUUUUAUACCAAUAUGACUUACAUGGCAGUGCCACAAGUACGUGGUACUAUCAUUACUAUCUUAUAUCUUUUGGCAUGAAAAUGUGCAUCACUACGAUCGAGAUUCAAUAAACCAUUCCUUUUAGGUGCUAGACCAUUGAAGGUAUUAUUCAAAUUAACAGAGUAACUAUUAUUCUCCUUAAAUGAAUAACCGUAUUGCGACAGACAUAAUCCAAUCAUGUCUAUGCUCAACGCAAACACCAAAUAACAAUUAUUUAGGUUUAACACCAAUCUCGAUGGUAGAGGGAGCGUGCGAUGCUUGAUCAUAUCAACCUUGGAAACACUUCCAACACGUAUCGUCAGCUCACCUUUAGUUAGUCUCCGUUUAUUCCGUAGCUUUUGUUUCGAGUUACUAACACUUAGCAACCGAACCGGUAUCUAAUACCCUGGUGCUACUAGGAGUACUAGUAAAGUACACAUUAACAUAAUGUAUAUCCAAUAUACUUCUAUCGACCUUGCCAGCCUUCUUAUCUACCAAGUAUCUAGGGUAAUUCUGCUCCAGUGGCUGUUCCCCUUAUUACAGAAGCACUUAGUCUCGGGUUUGGGUUCAACCUUGGGUUUCUUCACUGGAGCAGCAACUGAUUUGCCGUUUCAUGAAGUGUCCCUUCUUGCCCUUGCCCUUCUUGAAACUAGUGGUUUCACCAACCAUCAACAAUUGAUGCUCCUUCUUGAUUUCUACUUUCGCGGUGUCAAACAUCGUGAAUACCUCAAGGAUCAUCAUAUCUAUCCCUGACAUGUUAUAGUUCAUCACGAAGCUCUAGCAGCUUGGUGGCAAUGACUUUUGGAGAAACAUCACUAUCUCAUCUGGAAGAUCAACUCCCACUCGAUUCAAGUGAUUGUUGCACUCAGACAAUCUGAGCACAAGCUCAAUGAUUGAGCUUUUUUCCCUUAGUUUGCAGGCUAAGAAAAUCGUCGGAGGUCUUAGACCUCUUGACGUGGGCACGAGCCUAAAAUCCCAAUUUCAGCCCUCGAAACAUCUCAUAUGUUCCGCGACGUUUCGAAAAACGUCUUUGGUGCCUCAACUCUAAACCGUUUAACUGAACUCUCACGUAGUUAUCAAAACGUGUAUGUCCGAUGUUCGUAACAUCCACAAACUACAUUUGGGGUUCAGCACACUGAGCGGUGCAUUAAGGACAUAAGCUUUCUACUGUCCGCAUAAUCGCUACUGUCAACUUUCAACUAUACUUUUCUAGGAACAUAUCUAAACAGUGGAACUAAAGCACGAGCUUACGACAUAAUUUGCAAAGAUCUUUUGACUAUGUUCAGGAUAAUUAAGUUCAUCUCAUGAACUCCCACUCAGAUAGACAUCCCUCUAGUCAUCUAAGUGAUUACAUGAUCCGAGUCAACUAGGCCGUGUCCGAUCAUCACGUGAGACGGACUAGUCAUCAUCGGUGAACAUCUUCAUGUUGAUCGUAUCUACUAUAUGACUCAUGCUCGACCUUUCGGUCUCUUGUGUUCCGAGGCCAUGUCUGUACAUGCUAGGCUCGUCAAGCUAACCUAAGUGUUCUGCGUGUGUAAAUCUGGCUUACACCCGUUGUAUGUGAACGUAAGAAUCUAUCACACCGAUCAUCACGUGGUGCUUCGAAACGACGAACUUUCGCAACGGUGCACAGUUAGGGGGAACACCUUCUUGAAAUUUUAAUGAGGGAUCAUCUUAUUUACUACCGUCGUUCUAAGCAAAUAAGAUGCAUAAACAUGAUAAACAUCACAUGCAAUCAAAUAUUGACAUGAUAUGGCCAAUAUCAUUUUGCUCCUUUUGAUCUCCAUCUUCGGGGCUCCAUGAUCAUCAUCGUCACCGGCAUGACACCAUGAUCUCCAUCAUCAUGAUCUCCAUCAUCGUGUCUUCAUGAAGUUGUCUCGCCAACUAUUACUUCUACUACUAUGGCUAUCGGUUAGCAAUAAAGUAAAGUAAUUACAUGGCGUUGUAUAAUGACACGCAGGUCAUACAAUAAAUAAAGACAACUCCUAUGGCUCCUGCCGGUUGUCAUACUCAUCGACAUGCAAGUCGUGAUUCCUAUUACAAGAACAUGAUCAAUCUCAUACAUCACAUAUCAUUCAUCACAUUCUUCUUGGCCAUAUCACAUCACAUAGCAUACCCUGCAAAAACAAGUUAGACGUCCUCUAAUUGUUGUUUGCAUGUUUUACGUGGCUGCUAUGGGUUUCUAGCAAGAACGUUUCUUACCUACGCAAAACCACAACGUGAUAUGUCAAUUGCUAUUUACCCUUCAUAAGGACCCUUUUCAUCGCAUCCGAUCCAACUAAAGUGGGAGAGACUGGCACCCGCUAGCCACCUUAUGCACCAAGUGCAUGUCAGUCGGUGGAACCUGUCUCACGUAAGAGUACGUGUAAGGUCGGUCCGGGCCGCUUCAUCCCACAAUACCGUCGAAACAAGAUUGGGCUAGUAACGGCAAGCAUAUUGAACAAAAUCAACGCCCACAACUACUUUGUGUUCUACUCGUGCAAAGAAUCUACGCAAUAGACCUAGCUCAUGAUGCCACUGUUGGGGAAUGUAGCAGAAAUUCAAAAUUUUCCUAUGUGUCACCAAGAUCUAUCGAGAAACCAGCAACGAGGGGAAGGAGAGUGCAUCUACAUACCCUUGUAGAUCGCUAAGCGGAAGCGUUCAAGUGAAUGGGGUUGAUGGAGUCGUACUCGUCGUGAUUCAAAUCACCGAUGAUCCUAGUGCCGAACGGACGGCACCUCCACGUUCAACACACGUACAACCCGGUGACGUCUCCCAUGCCUUGAUCCAGCAAGGAGAGAGGGGGAGGUUGAGGAGGACUCCAUCCAGCAGCAGCACAACGGCGUGGUGGUGGUGGAGGAGCGUGGCAAUCCUGCAGGGCUUCGCCAAGCACCCGCGGGAGAGGAGGAGGUGUCACGGGAGGGAGGGAGGUGCCAGGGACUCAGGUGUGGCUUCCCCUCCCUCCCCUCCCUUUAUAUAGGUGCAAGAGAGGGGGGGAGGGCGCAGCCUUGCCCCUUCCUCCAAGGAAGGGGUGCGGCCAAGAGGGGGGGAGGAGUCCAUCCUCCCCAAGGCACCUCGGAGGUGCCUUCCCCCCUUUGGACUCUUCCCUCCCCAAGUCUCCUUGGCGCAUGGGCCUCUUGGGGCUGGUGCCCUUGGCCCAUAUGGGCCAAGGCGCACCCCCUACAGCCCAUGUGGCCCCCCGGGGAGGUGGACCCCCCCGGUGGACCCCCGGACCCCUUUCGGCACUCCCGAUACAAUACCGAUAAUGCGCGAAACUUUUCCGGCGACCAAAAUAAGACUUCCUAUAUAUAAAUCUUUAUCUCCGGACCAUUCCGGAACUCCUCGUGACGUUCAGGAUCUCAUCCGGGACUCCGAACAACAUUCGGUAACCACAUACAAACUUCCUUUAUAACCCUAGCGUCAUCUAACCUUAAGUGUGUAGACCCUACGGGUUCGGGAACCAUGCAGACAUGACCGAGACGUUCUCCGGUCAAUAACCAACAACGGGAUCUGGAUACCCAUGUUGACUCCCACAUGUUCCACGAUGAUCUCAUCGGAUGAACCACGAUGUCAAGGACUCAAUCGAUCCCGUAUACAAUUCCCUUUGUCUAGCGGCAUUGUACUUGCCCGAGAUUCGAUCGUCGGUAUCCCGAUACCUUGUUCAAUCUCGUUACCGGCAAGUCUCUUUACUCGUCCCGUAACACAUCAUCCCGUGAUCAACCCCUUGGUCACAUUGUGCACAUUAUGAUGAUGUCCUACCGAGUGGGCCCAGAGAUACCUCUCCAUCACACGGAGUGACAAAUCCCAGUCUCGAUUCGUGCCAACCCAACAGACACUUUCGGAGAUACCUGUAAUGCACCUUUAUAGCCACCCUGUUACGUUGUGACGUUUGGUACACCCAAAGCAUUCCUACGGUAUCCGGGAGUUGCACAAUCUCAUGGUCUAAGGAAAUGAUACUUGACAUUUAGAAAAGCUUUAGCAUACGAACUACACGAUCUGUGCUAGGCUUAGGAUUGGGUCUUGUCCAUCACAUCAUUCUCCUAAUGAUGUGAUCCCGUUAUCAAUGACAUCCAAUGUCCAUGGUCAGGAAACCGUAACCAUAUAGUGAUUAACGAGCUAGUCAACUAGAGGCUUACUAGGGACAUGGUGUUGUCUAUGUACCCACACAUGUAUCUGAGUUUCCUAUCAAUACAAUUAUAGCAUGGAUAAUAAACGAUUAUCAUGAACAAGGAAAUAUAAUAAUAACUAAUUUAUUAUUGCCUCUAGGGCAUAUUUCCAACAGGAUUCUAGGCACGUGGCCUCACUCAUGCGGACAUACCCAUCAAUCAGAUCACAUGGUAUUUUGUAUGCAAGCACUGAAUAGCUGCAGUGCAUUUCUGCUAAGAGGAGAAGCCAACCUCUCCCAAGGGCGUCCUCCUUGCAUAUGAAAUAAUCAUCGUAUGCCACAACCCUUCGCGAAUACGAGAACACAUGUCUAGCCAUCUGGAAGCGGCGCCGAAAUAGCUUGUGUUUGAAGAGUGGGGAAGAGGACUUGAAGUAGUCUUCCGCUCUCUCUAUUGUGAUUCAACGCCGGAGCAUGGCCCGAGAUUGAGCCCCUAAAUGUGGUCAUUGGCGACCAAAGUAGCAACCACAAACUCCUCAUCGUCCAACGAUGAAUCAUCCGAAUCGCAAAUGAAGUUGUCGAAAAAGUAUUCGUCUCCACUAUCCAUUUGCACCUUACGGGCGAAACGUCGAACACCUCACGGGCGUGGUUGAAGAAGCCGGCCGGCGAAGAGCCCAGCGCCUCUUCCAGACCAGGCAGCAGGCCUGUCGGCGUGGUGGCGGCCGUGGAGGAGAACGCCGAUUGAGGAAGCCAGGAUUGGAGCGUUGCCAACGGUGCCAGAGGUGAGGGUGGUGGCAUGGUCGUGGGGGGUGGGGGUGGGGGUGCUACGACGGUGGUGAAACUAGGCUUGACUUGCCGGCAAGGUGUGACGCCCGGGUAUUUAGCUACGGUAAUUCCCUGCUAAUGAUGCCACGUUACUUCGGUUACUUUCGCUAAUCUCGUGUUAGUUCGGAACCGAUUCAAAUUCAUAUUCAAAAUCAAGCAAACGAUAAACAUUUUCAAAGGUCAAAACUAAAAUGUUCUUAAUGUGACAAAUAAUUCAUAAGUAAUGUUGGUGGAGAAACCACAUUUUUAUAAAAGGUCUAAAUGCAUUUAAUUAAUUAAAACAGUAGGUAAGACAAAUAAAUAAAUGCCUUGGUAUUUUAUAAAACACUAAACUAUAUUAUUGGGGGGUUAAACCUUUUUGUGGCAGAGGUAUAAUUAGUGUUACUAUUUAAGGUACAACUUUUAUGUUUUAUAAAACUAGAAUAAAAUAAAACAGUAAAAGAAAAAGAACAAAACAGAAAAAAAGACAAAAGAAAUUAAAGNNNNNNNNNNNNNNNNNNNNNNNNNNNNNNNNNNNNNNNNNNNNNNNNNNNNNNNNNNNNNNNNNNNNNNNNNNNNNNNNNNNNNNNNNNNNNNNNNNNNNNNNNNNNNNNNNNNNNNNNNNNNNNNNNNNNNNNNNNNNNNNNNNNNNNNNNNNNNNNNNNNNNNNNNNNNNNNNNNNNNNNNNNNNNNNNNNNNNNNNNNNNNNNNNNNNNNNNNNNNNNNNNNNNNNNNNNNNNNNNNNNNNNNNNNNNNNNNNNNNNNNNNNNNNNNNNNNNNNNNNNNNNNNNNNNNNNNNNNNNNNNNNNNNNNNNNNNNNNNNNNNNNNNNNNNNNNNNNNNNNNNNNNNNNNNNNNNNNNNNNNNNGGGCGCCCCAGCUCGACCCCCUCCUCCCGCACGGCCGCGCCCGACGCAAACCGUUACUCCGCUACGGCUAUCGCAGCCGGCGCCGGCGCUGCCACUCAGGGCCGCCUCUGCGCCCCUCCUCUACCUCGCGCGGCGCCCGCCUGACGCAGCGGCCUCGCCUCGUCCCCGACCCGCCGACGCCGAAGGCCACCCCACGCCACGGCCUCCUCCUCGCGGCUCCCUGCCCUGCUCCGACCACCUCGCAUCGCCGCCUCCUACUUCGACCUGCACGGUCGCCGACCCCGCCUCUGUCGCCCGCUCCUACCGCCCGCGCCUCCCAUGGCUGCACCAGGCCGUGGCCGGCGCCUGCCGGCGCACGUGGGCGCUCUCCUGAAGCUCGCCAUUGCUCCUCCGUGUGCCCCGCCGAUGUUGGUCGCCCUGCCGGACCGCUUCGUCAUCGACGGCCCGCACCUCGUCGACCACCUCUCCGACUCCGGCCACCCCGAGCCUCCAUCGAGCAUGCUGCCCGAAGCCUACGGCCCCAGUGAGCGCCUCCCCCCUUCUCCUCUCGGUCUCCCUCGUGCAGCUCACGCGCCUCAUCGCGCCCGUCGCGUCAACGUCGGGCUCGCUACCUUGUGUAAUGCUGUAGCUGCUGCCGACCGCGGCCUCCCCUGUGUGCGCCCGGCCAUGGACAUAACCCCCCUACUGCCGCGCCGUCGUUCCCCUGCUCUCACUCCACCACGCAUCGCCCUGCCGCCGCAACCUCGCGCCGGCCUACGCCCAUCACCGGUGCCCCCCCCCACACCGUUCGCCUGGGCCAGUGCCCAAUCGGGUUGGGGCUUCACCCGCAGCGCCCGAACCCACUUUGGCCAUGGGCCAAUUGUUGGGGAACGUAGUAAUUUCAAAAAUUUUCCUACGCACACGCAAGAUCAUGGUGAUGGUAUAGCAACGAGAGGGGAGAGUGUUGUCCACGUACCCUCAUAGACCGUAAGCGGAAGCGUUAGCACAACGCGGUUGAUGUAGUCGUACGUCUUCACGAUCCGACCGAUCCAAGCACCGAACGUACGGCACCUCCGAGUUCAGCACACGUUCAACUCGAUGACGAUCCUCGGACUCCGAUCCAGCAAAGUGUCGGGGAUGAGUUCCGUCAGCACGACGGCGUGGUGAUGAUGUUGAUGUUCUACCGUCGCAGGGCUUCGCCUAAGCACCGCUACAAUAUUAUCGAGGUGGACUAUGGUGGUGGGGGGCACCGCACACGGCUAAGGAACGAUCUUGAAGAUCAACUUGUGUGUCCAUGGGGUGCCCCCUGCCCCCGUAUAUAAAGGAGUGGAGGAGGGGAGGGCCGGCCCUCUCUAUGGCGCGCCCUAGGGGAGUCCUACUCCCACCGGGAGUAGGAUUUCCCCUUUCCUAGUCCAACUAGGAACCCUUCCAUGUAGUAGGAGUAGGAGAGAAGGAAAGGGAAGAGAGGAGGAGAAGGAAGGAAGGGUGCGCCCCCCCUCCCUAGUCCAAUUCGGACUAGUCCAAGGGGAGGGGUGCGGCCACUCUUUUGGCCCUUUCUCUCCUUUCCCGUAUGGCCCAAAGAGGCUCAAUACGAAUUCCCGUAACUCUCCGGUACUCCCAAAAAUACCCGAAUCACUCGGAACCUUUCCGAACUCCGAAUAUAGUCGUCCAAUAUAUCGAUCUUUACGUCUCGACCAUUUCGAGACUCCUCGUCAUGUCCCCGAUCUCAUCCGGGACUCCAAACUCCUUCGGUACAUCAAAACUCAUAAACUCAUAAUAAAACUGUCAUCGUAACGUUAAGCGUGCGGACCCUACGGGUUCGAGAACUAUGUAGACAUGACCUAGAACUAUUCUCGGUCAAUAACCAAUAGCGAAACCUGGAUGCCCAUAUUGGCUCCUACAUAUUCUACGAAGAUCUUUAUCGGUCAAACCGCAUAACAACAUACGUUGUUCCCUUUGUCAUCGGUAUGUUACUUGCCCGAGAUUCGAUCGUCGGUAUCCAAUACCUAGUUCAAUCUCAUUACCGGCAAGUCUCUUUACUCGUUCCGUAAUGCAUCAUUCCGUAACUAACUCAUUAGCUACAUUGCUUGCAAGGCUUAUAGUGAUGUGCAUUACCGAGAGGGCCCAGAGAUACCUCUCCGACAAUCGGAGUGACAAAACCUAAUCUCGAAAUACGCCAACCCAACAUGUACCUUUGGAGACACCUGUAGUACUCCUUUAUAAUCACCCAGUUACAUUGUGACGGUUGGUAGCACCCAAAGUGUUCCUCCGGUAAACGGGAGUUGCAUAAUCUCAUAGUUACAGGAACAUGUAUAAGUCAUGAAGAAAGCAAUAGCAACAUACUAAACGAUCAAGUGCCAGGCUAACGGAAUGGGUCAUGUCAAUCACAUCAUUCUUCUAAUGAUGUGAUACCGUUAAUCAAAUGACAACACAUGUCUAUGGUUAGGAAACAUAACCAUCUUUGAUUAAUGAGCUAGUCAAGUAGAGGCAUACUAGUGACGUUAUGUUGGUCUAUGUAUUCACACAUGUAUUACGUUUCCGGUUAAUACAAUUCUAGCAUGAAUAAUAAACAUUUAUCAUGAUAUAAGGAAAUAAAUAAUAACUUUAUUAUUGCCUCUAGGGCAUAUUUCCUUGAGUCUCCCACUUGCACUAGAGUCAAUAAUCUAGUUCACAUCACCAUGUGAUUUAACACCAAUCCAUACCCAUAGUUCACAUCGUCAUGUGACCAACACCCGAAGGGUUUACUAGAGUCAAUAAUCUAGCUCACAUCGAUAUGUGAUUAACACCCAAAGAGUACUAAGGUAUGAUCAUGUUUUGCUCGUGAGAGAAGCUUAGUCAACGGGUCUGUCACAUUCAGAGCCGUAUGUAUUUUGCAAAUAUUCUAUGUCUACAAUGCUCUGCACGGAGCUACUCUAGAUAAUUGCUCCCACUUUCAAUAUGCAUCCAGAUAGAGAUUUAGAGUCAUCUGGAUUAGUGUAAAAAGCUUGCAUCGAUGUAACUCUUUACGACGGGCUCUUUUAUCACCUCCAUAAUCGAGAAAUAUUUCCUUAGUCCUCACUAAGGAUGUUCUUGACCAAUGUCCAGUGAUCUACUCCUAGAUCACUAUUGUACUCCCUUGCCAAAUUCAGAGCAAGGUAUACAAUAGGUCUGGUACAUAGCAUAGCAUACUUUAUAGAACCUAUGGCUGAGGCAUAGGGAAUGACUUUCAUUCUCUUUCUAUCUUCUGCCGUGGUCGGGCUUUGAGUCUUACUCAAUUUCACACCUUGUAACACAGGCAAGAACUCUUUCUUUGACUGUUCCAUUUUGAACCUUUUCAAAAUCUUGACAAGGUAUGUACUUAUUGAAAAACUUAUCAAGCAUCUUGAUCUAUCUCAAUAGAUCUUGAUGCUCAAUAUGUAAGCAGCUUCACCGAGGUCCUUCUUUGAAAAACUCCUUUCAAAUACUCCUUUAUGCUUUGCAGAAUAAUUCUACAUUAUUUCCGAUCAACAAUAUGUCAUUCACAUAUACUUAUCAGAAAUACUGUAGUGCUCCCACUCACUUUCUUGUAAAUACAGUCUUCUCCAAAAGUCUGUAUAAAACCAUAUGCUUUGAUCAACUCAUCAAAGCGUAUAUUCCAACUCCGAGAUGCUUGCACCAGUCCAUUGAUGGAUCGCUGGAGCUUGCACAUUUUGUUAGCUCCUUUAGGAUUGACAAAAAUUUCUGGUUGCAUCAUAUACAACUCUUCUUUAAUAAAUCCAUUAAAGAAUGUAGUUUUGACAUCCAUUUGCCAGAUUUCAUAAAAUGUGGCAAUUGCUAACAUGAUUCGGACAGACUUAAGAAUCGUCACAGUUGAGAAAAUCUCAUUGUAGUCAACACCUUGAACUUGUCGAAAACCUUUUUGUGACAAGUCGAGCUUUGUAGAUAGUAACACUACUAUCAGUGUCCGUCUUCCUCUUGAAGAUCCAUUUAUUUAACAUGGCUUGCUGAUCAUCGAGCAAGUCAAUCAAAGUCCAUACUUUGUUCUCAUACAUGGAUCCUAUCUCAGAUUUCAUGGCCUCAAGCCAUUUCGCGGAAUCUGGGCUCAUCAUCGCUUCCUCAUAGUCCGUAGGUUCAUCAUGUUCUAGUAACAUGACUUCCAGAACACGAUUACCGUACCACUCUGGUGCGGAUUUUACUCUGGAAGACCUACGAGGUUUGGUAGCAACUUGAUCUGAAGUUUCAUGAUCAUCAUCAUUAACUUCCUCACUAAUUGGUGUAGGAAUCACUGGAACUGAUUUCUGUGAUGAACUACUUUCCAAUAAGGGAGAAGGUACAAUUACCUUAUCAAGUUCUACUUUCCUCCCACUCACUUCUUUCGAGAGAAACUUCUUCUCUAGAAAGGAUCCAUCUUAGCAACGAAAAACUUGCCUUCGGAUCUGUGAUAGAAGGUGUACCCAAUAGUUACCUUUUGGUAUUCUAUGAAGACGCACUUCUCCAAUUUGGGUUCGAGCUUAUCAGGUGAAAACUCUUUCACAUAAGCAUUACAACUCCAAACUUUUAAGAAACGACAGCUUAGGUUUACUGUUAAACCAUAGUUCAUAUGGUGUCGUCUCAACGGAUUUAGAUGGUGCCCUAUUAAACGUGAAUGCAGCUGUCUCUAAUGCAUAACCCCAAAACGAUAUUGGUAAAGCGGUAAGAGAGAUCAUUGAUCGCACCAUAUCAAAAUAAAGUACGGUUACGACGUUCGGACACACCAUAACGUUGUGGUGUUCCAGGUGGCGUGAGCUAUGAAACUAUUCCACUUUGUUUUAAUUGAAGACCAAACUCGUAACUCAAAUAUUCAUCUCCAUGAUCAGAUCGCAGAAACUUUAUUUUCUUGUUACGAUGAUUUUCUACUUCACUCUGAAAUUCUUUGAACUUUUCAACUAUUUCAGACUUAUGUUUCAUCAAGAAGAUAUACCCAUAUCUGCUCAAAUCAUCUUGUGAAGGUCAGAAAAUAACGAUACUUGCCACGAGCAUCAACACUCAUUGGAUCGCAUACAUCGGUAUGUAUUAUUUCCAAUAAGUCAGUAUCUCAUUCCAUUGUUCUGAACAACGGAGUUUCAGUCAUCUUGCCCAAAAGGCACGGUUCGCAAGCAUCAAAUGAUUCAUAAUCAAGUGAUUCCAAAAACCCAUCAGCAUGGAGUUUCUUCAUGCGCUUUACACCGAUAUGACCCAAACGGCAGUGCCACAAAUAAGUUGCACUAUCAUUAUUAACUUUGCAUCUUUUAGCAUCAAUAUUAUGAAUAUGUGUAUCACUACGAUCGAGAUCCAACAAACUAUUUUCAUUGGGUGUAUAACCAUUGAAGGUCUUAUUCAUGUAAACAGAAUAACAAUUAUUCUUUAACUUCAAAUGAAUAACCGUAUCGCAAUAAACAUGAUCAAAUCAUAUUCAUGCUCAACGCAAAUGCUAAAUAACAUUUAUUUAGGUUUAACACUAAUCCCGAAAGUAUAGGGAGUGUGUGAUGAUGAUCAUAUCAAUCUUGGAACUACUUCCAACACUCAUCGUCACUUUCCCUCAACUAGUAUAUGUUUAUUAUGUUACUCCUGUUUCGAGUUACUAAUCUUAGCAAUCGAACAAGUAUCAAAUACUCAGGGGCUACUAUAAACACUAGUAAGGCACACAUCAAUAAUCUGUAUAUCAAAUAUACCCUUGUUCACUUUGCCAUCCUUUUUUAUCUACCAAAUAUUCAGGGCAUUUCCGCUUCCAGUGACCAUUUCCUUUGCAGUGUAAGCACUCAGUUUCAGGCUUUGGUUCAGCUUUGGGCUUCUUCGUGGGAGUGACAACUUGCUUGUCAUUCUACUUGAAGUUCCCUUUCUUUCCCUUUGCCCUUUUCUAGAAACUAGUAGUCUUGUUAACCAUCAACACUUGAUGUUUUUCUUGAUUUCUACCUUCGUUGAUUUCAGCAUCACGAAGAGCUUGGGAAUCACUUUCGUCAUCCCUUGCAUAUUAUAGUUCAUCACGAAGUUCUACUAACUUGGUGAUGGUGACUAGAGAAUUCUGUCAAUCACUAUUUUAUCUGGAAGAUUAACUCCCACUUGAUUCAAGCGAUUGUAGUACCCAGACAAUCUGAGCACAUGCUCACUAGUUGAGCGAUUCUCCUCCAUCUUUUAGCUAUAGAACUUGUUGGAGACUUCACAUCUCUCAACUCGGGUAUUUGCUUGAAAUAUUAACUUCAAUUCCUGGAACAUCUUAUAUGGUCCAUGAUGUUCAAAACAUCUUUGAAGUCCCGAUUCUAAGCCGUAAAGCAUGGUCCACUAAACUAUCAAGUAGUCAUCAUAUUGAGCUAGCCAAACGUUCAUAAUGUCGGCAUCUGCUGCUGCAAUAGGUCUGUCACCUAGCGGUGCAUUAAGGACAUAAUUCUUCUAUGCAGCAAUGAGGAUAAACCUCAGAUCACGGAUCCAAUCCGCAUCAUUGCUACUAACAUCUUUCAACACAAUUUUCUCUAGGAACAUAUCAAAAUAAACAUAUGAAAACAACAAACAUAGGGAAGCAACAACGCGAGCUAUUGAUCUACAACAUAAUUUGCAAAAAUACUACCAGGACUAAGUUCAUGAUAAAUUUAAGUUCAAUUAAUCAUAUUACUUAAGAACUCCCACUUAGAUAGACAUCUCUCUAGUCAUCUAAGUGAUCACGUGAUCCAAAUCAACUAAACCAUAACUGAUCAUCACGUGAGAUGGAGUAGUUUCCAAUGGUGAACAUCACUAUGUUGAUCAUAUCUACUAUAUGAUUCACGCUCGACCUUUCGGUCUCCGUGUUCCGAGGCCAUAUCUGCAUAUGCUAGGCUCGUCAAGUUUAACCCGAGUAUUCCGCGUGUGCAAAACUGGCUUGCACCCGUUGUAGAUGGACGUAGAGCUUAUCACACCCGAUCAUCACGUGGUGUCUGGGCACGACGAAUUUUGGCAACGGUGCAUACUCAGGGAGAACACUUCUUGAUAAUUAGUGAGAGAUCAUCUUAAAAUGCUACCGUCAAUCAAAGCAAGAUAAGAUGCAUAAAGGAUAAACAUCACAUGCAAUCAAUAUAAGUGAUAUGAUAUGGCCAUCAUCAUCUUGCGCUUGUGAUCUCCAUCUCCGAAGCACCGUCAUGAUCACCAUCGUCACCGGCGCGACACCUUGAUCUCCAUCGUAGCAUCGUUGUCGUCUUGCCAACUAUUGCUUCUACGACUAUCGCUACCGCUUAGUGAUAAAGUAAGGCAAUUACAUGGCGUUUGCAUUUCAUACAAUAAAGCGACAACCAUAUGGCUCCUGCCAGUUGCCGAUAACUCGGUUACAAAACAUGAUCAUCUCAUACAAUAUAAUUUAGCAUCAUGCCUUGACCAUAUCACAUCACAACAUGCCCUGCAAAAACAAGUUAGACGUCCUCUACUUUGUUGUUGCAAGUUUUAUGUGGCUGCUACGGGCUGAGCAAGAACCGUUCUUACCUACGCAUCAAAACCACAACGAUAGUUUGUCAAGUUGGUGCUGUUUUAACCUUCGCAAGGACCAGGCGUAGCCACACUCGGUUCAACUAAAGUGAGAGAGACAGACACCCUCCAGUCACCUUUAAGCAACGAGUGCUCGCAACGGUGAAACCAGUCUCGCGUAAGCGUACGCGUAAUGUCGGUCCGGGCCGCUUCAUCUCACAAUACCGCCGAACCAAAGUAUGACAUGCUGGUAAGCAGUAUGACUUGUAUCGCCCACAACUCACUUGUGUUCUACUCGUGCAUAUAACAUCAACACAUAAAACCAGGCUCGGAUGCCACUGUUGGGGAACGUAGUAAUUUCAAAAAAUUUCCUACGCACACGCAAGAUCAUGGUGAUGGUAUAGCAACGAGAGGGGAGAGUGUUGUCCAUGUACCCUCGUAGACCGUAAGUGGAAGCGUUAGCACAACGUGGUUGAUGUAGUCGUACGUCUUCACGAUCCGACCGAUCCAAGCACCGAACGUACGGCACCUCCGAGUUCAGCACACGUUCAGCUCGAUGACGAUCCCCGGACUCCGAUCCAGCAAAGUGUCGGGGAUGAGUUCCGUCAGCACGACGGCGUGGUGACGAUGUUGAUGUUCUACCGUCGCAGGGCUUCGCCUAAGCACCGCUACAAUAUUAUCGAGGUGGACUAUGGUGGAGGGGGGCACCGCACACGGCUAAGGAACGAUCUUGAAGAUCAACUUGUGUGUCCAUGGGGUGCCCCCUGCCCCCGUAUAUAAAGGAGUGGAGGAGAGGGCCGGCCCUCUCUAUGGCGCGCCCUAGGGGAGUCCUACUCCCACCGGGAGUAGGAUUUCCCCUUUCCUAGUCCAACUAGGAACCCUUCCAUGUAGUAGGAGUAGGAGAGAAGGAAAGGGAAGAGAGAAGGAGAAGGAAGGAAUGGUGCGCCCCCCCUCCCUAGUCCAAUUCGGACUAGUCCAAGGGGAGGGGUGCGGCCACUCUUUUGGCCCUUUCUCUCCUUUCCCGUAUGGCCCAAAGAGGCCCAAUACGAAUUCCCAUAACUCUCCGGUACUCCCAAAAAUACCCGAAUCACUCGGAACCUUUCCGAACUCCGAAUAUAGUCGUCCAAUAUAUUUAUCUUUACGUCUCGACCAUUUCGAGACUCCUCGUCAUGUCCCCGAUCUUAUCCGGGACUCCGAACUCCUUCGGUACAUCAAAACUCAUAAACUCAUAAUAAAACUGUCAUCGUAACGUUAAGCGUGCGGACCCUACGGGUUCGAGAACUAUGUAGACAUGACCUAGAACUAUUCUCGGUCAAUAACCAAUAGCGGAACCUGGAUGCCCAUAUUGGCUCCUACAUAUUCUACGAAGAUCUUUAUCGGUCAAACCGCAUAACAACAUACGUUGUUCCCUUUGUCAUCGGUAUGUUACUUGCCCGAGAUUCGAUCGUCGGUAUCCAAUACCUAGUUCAAUCUCGUUACCGGCAAGUCUCUUUACUCAUUCCGUAAUGCAUAAUUCCGUAACUAACUCAUUAGCUACAUUGCUUGCAAGGCUUAUAGUGAUGUGCAUUACCGAGAGGGCCCAGAGAUACCUCUCCGACAAUCGGAGUGACAAAACCUAAUCUCGAAAUACGCCAACCCAACAUGUACCUUUGGGGACACCUGUAGUACUCCUUUAUAAUCACCCAGUUACGUUGUGAUGUUUGGUAGCACCCAAAGUGUUCCUCCGGUAAACGGGAGUUGCAUAAUCUCAUAGUUACAGGAACAUGUAUAAGUCAUGAAGAAAGCAAUAACAACAUACUAAACGAUCAAGUGCUAGGCUAACGGAAUGGGUCAUGUCAAUCACAUCAUUCUUCUAAUGAUGUGAUCCCGUUAAUCAACUGACAACACAUGUCUAUGGUUAGGAAACAUAACCAUCUUUGAUUAAUGAGCUAGUCAAGUAGAGGCAUACUAGUGACGUUAUGUUGGUCUAUGUAUUCACACAUGUAUUACGUUUCCGGUUAAUACAAUUCUAGCAUGAAUAAUAAACAUUUAUUAUGAUAUAAGGAAAUAAAUAAUAACUUUAUUAUUGCCUCUAGGGCAUAUUUCCUUCACGAAUGGCACAAGGGGCCCACGCCCCUGGAACAAUUUUUUUUUAAAAAAGAAGUUAAUAAAAUAAAUAAAUAAGUAAUUAUUAACUAAAUAAUGAGUUGAUUAAUUAAGUUAAUUAGUUCUGUUUAGCUAAGCUAAUCAAAAUUAGUUAACCUAAUCAAUGAAAUUAAGCUAAUUAACAUGUUUAAUCUAAGUCAAUGACAUAUGGGACCCACGCGUCAGCUUGACCCAGUCAACACCUCUGUUGACUGGUGAUGUCAUGCUGACGUCAUGCUGAUGCAGUAAUACCAUUUUCGAAUUAAAUUAAUAAUAAUAAAUUAUAAAUUGAAUAAAGUCUCUGAAAAUUAAUAAUAAAUAAACCGUAGUUCGGAUGGAAAAACUUUGUACAUGAAAGUUGCUCAGAACGACGAGACGAACCCGGAAACGCAGCCCGUUCCUCCGCCACACAUCCCUAACCUAUCGAACUCGCAACUUUCCCCCUCCGGCUCCUCUGCCCGAAAACACGAAACACCGGUGAUACUUUCCCGGAUGUUUCCCCCCCUUCACCGACAUUACCUCAUACUGCGUUAGGGCACGCCUAGCAUCACGCUUUGCUUUGUCAUGCAUCGUCAUGCAUAUGUUUGCAUUGUAUUCAUUGUUUCUUCCCCCUCUGCUUCCGCUAGACACCGAGACCGACGCUGCUGCUGCCCAGUUCGACUACGGAGUUGACGACCCCUCUCUCUUGCCAGAGCAACCAGGCAAGCCCCCCCUUUGAUCACCAGAUAUCGCCUAUUCUUCUCUAUACUGCUUGCAUUAGAGUAGUGUAGCAUGUUACCGCUUUCCGUUAAUCCUAUUCUGCUGCAUAGCUUGUCCUUGCUACUACUGUUGUUACCUUUACCUGCAAUCCUACAUGCCUAGUAUAGGAUGCUAGUUUUCCAUUAGUGGACCUACAUUCUUGUCCGUCUGCUGUGCUAUACUAUCGGGCCGUGAUCACUUGGGAGGUGAUCAUGGGUAUAUACUAUAUACUUUAUACAUGAUACAUGUGGUGACUAAAGUCGGGUCGGCUUGUGGAGCACCCGCGAGUGAUUCACGGAUUGGGGGCUGAAAGGACCUUUGUCCCAACGGCCCUCUGUGUGGAUCUUUGUGGCGGAGCGUCAGGGCAGGUUGAGACUACCUGGGUGAGAGGUGGGCCUGGCCCUGUUCGGCGUUCGUGGAUACUUAACACGCUUAACGAGAUCUUGGUAUUUGAUCUGAGUUGGGUCGUUGACCUUAUACGCACUAACCGCCACAUGGGACAAGUUAUGGGCAACCGGCGUCGUGGUAUCAGCCGAAGCAUUUCGUGACGUCAGCGACGGAGCGGCGCGCGCCGGUUUGGACUGGAACGCCUGCUAGGCUAGGUCUGCUUUCGGCCGCCCUCGCAACAUGCAGGUGUGCUAAGGGCGAUGGGCCCAGACCCCUGUGCGCUUAGGUUUAGACCGGCGUGCUGACCUCUCUCUUAUGCCUAGGUGGGGCUGUGGCGUGUUGAUCUUCCGCGGCCGGGCAUGACCCAGGAAAGUGUGUCCGGCCAAAUGGGAUCGAGCGUGUCGGGUAAUGUGGUGCACCCAUGCAGGGAAGUUAAUCUAUUCGAAUAGCCGUGAUCUUCGGUAACAGGACGACUUGGAGUUGUACCUUGAUCUUAUGACAACUAGAACCGGAUACUUAAUAAAAUACACCCUUCCAAGUGCCAGAUACAACCCGGUGGUCGCUCUCUAACAGGGCAUUGAGGAGGGGAUCGCCGGGUAGGAUUAUGCUAUGCGAUGCUACUUGGAGGACUUCAGUCUACUCUCUUCUACAUGUUGCAAGACGAAGGCUGCCAGAAGCGUAGUCUUCGACAUGAUUAGCUAUCCCCCUCUUAUUCUGGCAUUCUGCAGUUCAGUCCACUGAUAUGGCCCUUUACACAUAUAUCCAUGCAUAUGUAGUGUAGCUCCUUGCUUGCGAGUACUUUGGAUGAGUACUCACGGUUGCCUUGUUCCCCCCUUUUCCCCUAUCUCUAUCCGAUUGCUGCGACCAGACGAUGGAUCCCAGGAGCCAGACGCCACCUUCGAUGACGACUCCUACUACGCUGGAGGUGCCUACUACUACAUGCAGCCCGCUGACGAUGACCAGGAGUAGUUUAGGAGGAUCCCAGGCAGGAGGCCUGCGCCUCUUUCGAUCUGUAUCCCAGUUUGUGCUAGCCAUCUUAUGGCAACUUGUUUAACUUAUGUCUGUACUCAGAUAUUGUUGCUUCCGCUGACUCGUCUAUGAUCGAGCACUUGUAUUCGAGCCCUCGAGGCCCCUGGCUUGUAUUAUGAUGCUUGUAUGACUUAUUUAUGUUUUAGAGUUGUGUUGUGAUAUCUUCCCGUGAGUCCCUGAUCUUGAUCGUACACGUUUGCGUGCAUGAUUAGUGUACGAUUGAAUCGGGGGCGUCACAAGUUGGUAUCCGAGCCGACUGUCUGUAGGAAUCCCCCUUCCAACUCCUUGGCCGAAGUUGAGUCUAGACGUUGCAAAAACUUCUACUAACAUGGCUGUGUGUCUUACGGGCACACGUCGCCAUUGGGUGGUAGUAGGAUCUUUUAUUCCUUGACCUAUGCUCUGGGACUCUGAUCUCUCUUGUAUUCGGGUUAAAUGAAUUUUACUAAAUCUAACAUUAGGAUCUCGUUAUCACUUUCACCCGGAGAGCCUCAUAUUACUGAUGAUCGUUUGCUGCACGUGAAGACCCUGAAGAUACUCUCCGCUAUUAACCCGAGAAUUUGUGUUCAUCGCGUUUGCAAUUCCCUUCCACCGUCAACCCUUAUGGAUAACUACUUGCAGUUGUUAUUCUUACAUUCAUCCCCAGUUGGUCUUGUUAUUACAAGAUACCCCGAAACACUCAUCGUUGUUUCGAUAAUCCUUUGAGCUUACUGCCUUGCUGUUCUUUGUCACCUGAAUACCCAAACGGAUAAUUCCUCGCACUUGCCGAGUAUCCCCUCAUCCCUAGCCGUUCAUGUGUUUCACAAUAGACUUGAAAAUACCAUUCGAUCUUCCAAAAAUCUUCGGCAGCCAUUUGCUCUUGAAUUUCUUGCUUGCUUUCAUUAUGGUUAAUCCCAUAAGUCUAGUAAUCUUAUUGGCAUCCUUUGUCACUAUCAUUUUGUGUCCGUUGAUUCUAUAUGUGUGCGAAUGCACGCAAUAAUUAGUUGAUCCUUAUAAAUUAUAUUUUCGGCUACUUUCGAACAUGAGCUGGUUCUCGGCCAAUCAGAUUGCCAUCGACUGUACCCCUAAGGCUAUUCAACUUAUCCGUCCGUAAUCGGAGCAUUGCUUCUGAUCCCUUGUCUUGGAAUUCAUAAUUCCUUUGCAAUUGAGCUUUGAAGUAGUCAGUUGUUUCUAUCAUCUGAUCUCCUUGCAUGCUUUCUUCUUCUGGUUGAGUACCGAUGCUCACAUCAGAUCCCUUAUGGACCACCAGAUCUUUUGUUGAAUUUUAUCCGGCAAUAUCCUUCAUACUCAAUAACCUUGAGCCUUUCCCAGGAUAUAUACCGCCUUUGGUAAAUUGUAUCCUUUUCUUUGUCAACCAUGCUCUACUUUGAGCUUGUGUUAAUUACUCCUGAAGUUCGUGGUAUAUGUUCUAAGAAGCCCCGAUGGCUUGAACCUAUGCCUUCCUUAAUAUGUGUGAACUAGAAAGUUCUCACGAGUCAUACACUCCUGGUAUUUUGCCAGAUAAAAUUUCAACACUACAACCUCCUCGAAAAUGAGAAGUGAACGAAAGGUUAUGCAUUGGAGAAGUGGGAGUUGAUCUUGAACUUGUGUUCAUGCCCAUGGACACGAUGUAGAUCUUGUCAUUAAAGCUUCUCUUAAAUUAAUUAUCCCUUUGGUAUAACUUCAUCUUAUAUCUGGGAUCUGGCCUUUUGCAAUCGUGGUUCCGACCAUGUUCUCUUUUAAAUACCAUUUCUCGUGCAAGUUUAAGCACUUGUCUUCUGUAGAGCAAUACCCCAGUCCAACCUCUACUUUGAUCUGUCGUCGAGUAUUACCCCCUGGUAUCUCGAGAUUAUCAUGGAACUGCGUAACUUCUUAUGAGUUCUUCAUCAAGUGCUACAUUCCCACUGAUUCCAAUUUUUCACGGGCUCUGAGUUUUUAAACACUCAAGGACACCAAUAACUGAACCGAGUCCGCACUACGGUUCAACAACUCUUCAGUAAGCUUCUAUAAGUACGAGUUUGUACCCGAUCAUGCCAUUCCUAGCCUGUUUGACUAUAUCAUUGUCGUGAUGAUUCUAACUGUGCUACCUGGUCCUUAUUCUCGGAGCACCAAUUUGCGACGAUAGCUAAGCUUACGUCGAUUUUCCUCGUCAUACCCUUUCACCUUAAACAACAAGCUUGAGUUCGAGUUUGUGUCGUAACUGUGGUUCCAAUAACCUCUUGCUUCAUCAUUCCUUUGACUUGAUGUCGUCGCUGAUUGAUUACAUCUUCAUGAAAUCUCUCGACAAAUGUGUCGUGAUCAUCAUCAACCUUAUGAGCUCUUCCAGGAUAUCAACCGGAUUCAUGAAGAGAAAUACCAUCCUUGCCCUCGAUGAGUUGUGUUAUAUCGGCCACUUUAUUGCCUUCCCUCCAACACAAACUUGUUCGUGUUUUGUGUUAUACCUUGAGUUCCUUGCUAUCCAGUAAUUGUUCUUCUUUACCUUGGAACAUUAACAUCUCUUAUGUCCUCAAUGUUGUGAGAAUUUCACCACCUCUGGAGAAUUCUUGAUACAAGUGAUACUUAUCACCAUCACCAUUCUUCCUUGGUCCCCAUGUUGUUUUUAACCGAGAUACCAAUAUGCUGACGAUGCUGCUUGAGUUUUGUACUUCUAGCAACCCUAUUGCUUUGAAGUUAAUGAUCGAUAGUUCGUUCUUAGACUGUUGGUUAUUGAAUCGUCACUCUAACAGUGAUCUUGCUGCCUAAGGUCAUAUUUCGGGUGCACUUUUCAACCAAUGUUUAAUUGUGUAUGUUUUCCUCAAGCAUACAUCAUUAUAUCAUUUGUUUCGACAAUGUUAUCUCCUUGUUCAGAUAAUCGUGGAAAUCCAUCUUCUGAAAUCUCAAUGGAAUGUCGCUGAGUCCAUCAGGCACCUCCUCACCCUCUCCUUGGUUUAAUGAUGAACCCUUGUCCGAAACUCGCUCCCACUGUUCAAUUCCCGAGAAUCUUACAAUGUCAUCUCGACAAUUUGGUUGCACCGCUCUUCUCAGGCAUCCCGAGUUUGCGGUAUCCUGACACCAAUCAUAUCUGAAUCUCCGUCAGAUAUGAUGGUUGGAACAUAUUUACAAGAGUUAUAACGCUAGUCUUCAUAAGACCCGGCAAGGUGAUGUCAUGCCUAGCACACCUGGCCGGAGGACCUAUUGUUAUAGUUGUUCCUUUUUGGCAAGGUUAACCAUUCUUCCAUGAGGGAAUUGUAAAACUUAUUCCAUAAGUUAUUCCUGAUGAAUCCUCCGAGUAUCCAAAGUCUGACCUUUGCUUGAAUGCCAUGCAAUGCUAUCUCGAAGCAUGUUUGUGGUACUCCGAUUUUCAACAAGAACAUUUGAAGCCCAAUGCUAAAUGCUUCCUGCUCAAUUAUCCAAACACCGUUGUAUGGGUAAUGUCAUGAAAAUUCUCUCCCCUACCUAAAGAGUUUUCUACAUUAUACCCUGCCACGGAUAGCAUGCUCUGCUUGCCUUGGGAAGGAUAUAUCCCUGAAAUAUGUGUUUAAACACAUUUUCCUUUCCAUUGCCUGUUUAACCUGGUAAUCACCUUUCCUUUCCAUUAGUUUGCUUAACCCUUCUUGUGAUCUAUAUUAUAUAAGCAGUAGUAAUCUUCUGCUUAUGUAAAACACCUUGGUGUACAACCUUAUCAGUCAGACCCUGUUACUAUUGUUGAUGACAUUUCGGUAACCACCGAUGGAUGGGAACUUUGCCUAUUGGUCCGCCUCGUUCAAUGAGCAGGAAAAUGGUUCUCUUCGUCCCUCGCCCUCGGUAUCGAUGUUGUUGCCGACAUAACUAACAGGCUACCCUCUAGCAUGCCUUGCUAUUGUGACCGUGCAAGAUGUCAGCCCCCCUUCCUACCUUUAACCCACAUGGUGGGCCCAUAACCCACAGUUCCCAGGAUCGAAACUUGACUCUCCUGCACCCCCUGUUCCCAAGGUUCUUCCUCGCGUGUGGCCUCGUAUGUAAUUCACGAGCCACCUUCUGAGAGAUCAUCAAAUCUGUUACCGGACGCAAUACUUAGUCCCGAUUGCUUUGAGCCCCUUUCAAGCCCUGUUCAGGCAGCGAACGGUUGCCUGCUCGCUCGAAACUUCCCAUGAAACCUCAUUACUUGCUCUCGAUAUUCACUUAAGUUUCAAUUCGAGAGUUACUUUCCGCCACCUUCCCCGAUGUUAUCGACCAGAUAGUCAACCUUGUAGAGGUUCGUUCUCCCGGAAUAACCCCCUUAUUCUUUCGUAUGUACGAUGGAACCCCCAAGGAAAGGAUGUCGACUUCAUCUUGAUGACCUAAAGCAGAAAAAUGAAGACAUCAAUAUAAUGGAUCGACCACUUUGAGAGGAGCAACCAAGGCCGAGAAGAUUUGUUAGAAUUUCGUAAACAAACGUUUCCCCCUUAGACCCCUCAUAAAUCUCGGGACGAGAUUUCUUGUAGUGGAGGAGAAUUGUGACGCCCGGGUAUUUAGCUACAGUAAUUCCCUGCUAAUGAUGCCACGUCACUUCGGUUACUUUCGCUAAUCUCGUUUUAGUUCGGAACCGAUUCAAAUUCAUAUUCAAAAUCAAGCAAACGAUAAACGUUUUCAAAGGUCAAAACUAAAAUGUUCUAAAUGUGACAAAUAAUUCAUAAGUAAUGUUGGUGGAGAAACCACAUUUUUAUAAAAGGUCUAAAUGCAUUUAAUUAAUUAAAACAGUAGGUAAGACAAAUAAAUAAAUGCCUUGGUAUUUUAUAAAACACUAAACUAUAUUAUUUGGGGGUUAAACCUUUUUGUGGCAGAGGUAUAAUUAGUGUUACUAUUUUAGGUACAACUUUUAUGUUUUAUAAAACUAGAAUAAAAUAAAACAGUAAAAGAAAAAGAACAAAACAGAAAAAAAUACAAAAGAAAUUAAAGUCCCCCCGCCCGCUGGGCCUCGGCCCAGCUGGCCAAGUAGUCGGCCGGCCCGGCCGGCCCAUCCCCACUCCCUUAACCCGCUGGUGCGAAACCCUAACCCGUUGCCCCCGUAGUCCCACUCCCCCCACCUUUCCCCUCGUCCCCUCACCCGCCGCCACCACACGCAACACACGCACACACACUCACGCACGCAUCGUGCCUGGGGAAGGGGCGCCCCUGCUCGAUCCCCUCCUCCCGCAUGGCCGCGCCCGACGCAAACCGUCACUCCGCUACGGCCAUCGCAGCCGGCACCGGCACUGCCACUCAGGACCGCCUCUGUGCCCCUUAUCUACCUCGCGCGGAGCCCGCCUGACGCAGCGGCCUCGCCUCGUCCCCGACCCGCCGACGUUGAACGCCACCCCACGCCACGGCCUCCUCCUCGCGGCUCCCUGCCCUGUUCCGACCCCCUCGCAUCGCCGCCUCCUCCUUUGACCUGCGCGGUCGCCGACCCCGCCUCUGUCGCCCGCUCCUGCCGCCCGCGCCUCCCAUGGCUGCACCAGGCCGUGGCCGGCGCCUGCCGGCGCGCGUGGGCGCUCUCCUGCAGCUCGCCAUUGCUCCUCCGCGUGCCUCGCCGAUGUUGGUCGCCCUGCCGGACCGCUUCGUCAUCGACGGCCCGCACCUCGUCGACCACCUCUCCGACUCCGACCACCCCGACCCUCCAUCGAGCACGCUGCCCGAACCCUACGGCCCCAGUGAGCGCCUCCCCCUUCUCCUCUCGGUCUCCCUCGUGCAGCUCACGCGCCUCGUCGCGCCCGUCGCGUCAACGUCGGGCUCGCUACCCCGUGUACUGCUGUAGCUGCUGUCGACCGCGGCCUCUCCUGUGUGCGCCCGGCCAUGGACAUAACCCCCCUACUGCCGCGCCGUCGUUCCCCUGCUCUCACUCCACCACGCAUCGCCCUGCCGCCGCAACCUCGCGCCGGCGUACGCCCGUCGCCAGCGCCCCGCCACACCGUUCGCCUGGGCCAGUGCCCAAUCGGGUUGGGGCUUCACUCGCAGCGCCCGAACCCACUUUGGCCAUGGGACAAUGGCACAAGGGGCCCACGCCCCUGGAACAAUUUUUUUUAAAAGGAAGUUAAUAAAAUAAAUAAAUAAGUAAUUAUUAACUAAAUAAUUAGUUGAUUAGUUAAGUUAAUUAGUUCUAUUUAGCUAAGCUAAUUAAAAUUAGUUAACCUAAUCAAUGAAAUUAAGUAAUUAACAUGUUUAAUCUAAGUCAAUGACAUAUGGGACCCACGCGUCAGCUUGACCCAGUCAACACCUCUAUUGACUGGUGAUGUCAUGCUGACGUCAUGCUGAUGCAGUAAUACCAUUUUCGAAUUAAAUUAAUAAUAAUAAAUUAUAAAUUGAAUAAAGUCUCUGAAAAUUAAUAAUGAAUAAACCGUAGUUCGGAUGGAAAAACUUUGUACAUGAAAGUUGCUCAGAACGACGAGACGAACCCGGAAACGCAGCCCGUUCGUCCGCCACGCAUCCCUAACCUAUCAAACUCGCAACUUUCCCCCUCCGGCUCCUCUGCCCGAAAACACGAAACACCGGGGAUACUUUCCCGGAUGUCCCCCCCCUUCACCGACAUCACCUCAUACUGCGUUAGGGCACGCCUAGCAUCACGCUUUGCUUUGACAUGCAUCGUCAUGCAUAUGUUUGCAUUGUAUUCAUUGUUUCUUCCCCCUCUACUUCCGCUAGACACCGAGACCGACGCUGCUGCUGCCCAGUUCGACUACGGAGUUGACGACCCCUCUCUCUUGCCAGAGCAACCAGGCAAGCCCCCCCUUUGAUCACCAGAUAUCGCCUAUUCUUCUCUAUACUGCUUGCAUUAGAGUAGUGUACCAUGUUACUGCUUUCCGUUAAUCCUAUUCUGCUGUAUAGCUUGUCCUUGCUACUACUGUUGUUACCUUUACCUGCAAUCCUACAUGCCUAGUAUAGGAUGCUAGUUUUCCAUUAGUGGCCCUACAUUCUUGUCCGUCUGCUAUGCUAUACUAUCGGGCCGUGAUCACUUGGGAGGUGAUCACGGGUAUAUACUAUAUACUUUAUACAUGAUACAUGUGGUGACUAAAGUCGGGUCGGCUUGUGGAGCACCCGCGAGUGAUUCACGGAUUGGGGGCCGAAAGGACCUUUGUCCCAACGGCCCUCUGUGUGGAUCUUUGUGGCGGAGCGUCAGGGCAGGUUGAGACUACCUGGGUGAGAGGUGAGCCUGGCCCUGUUCGGCGUUCGCGGAUACUUAACACGCUUAACGAGAUCUUGGUAUUUGAUCUGAGUUGGGUCGUUGACCUUAUACGCACUAACCUCCACGUUGGACAAGUUAUGGGCAACCGGCAUCGUGGUAUCAGCCGAAGCAUUUCGUGACGUCAACGACGGAGCGGCGCGCGCCGGAUUGGACUGGAACGCCUGCUAGGCUAGGUCUGCUUUCGGCCGCCCUCGCAACGUGCAGGUGUGCUAAGGGCAAUGGGCCCAGACCCCUGUGCGCUUAGGUUUAGACCGGCGUGCUGACCUCUCUCUUAUGCCUAGGUGGGGCUGCGACGUGUUGACCUUCCGCGGCCGGGCAUGACCCAGGAAAGUGUGUCCGGCCAAAUGGGAUCGAGCGUGUCGGGUAAUGUGGUGCACCCUUGCAGGGAAGUUAAUCUAUUCGAAUAGCCGUGAUCUUCGGUAACAGGACGACUUGGAGUUGUACCUUGACCUUAUGACAACUAGAACCGGAUACUUAAUAAAACACACCCUUCCAAGUGCCAGAUACAACCCGGUGGUCGCUCUCUAACAUGGCAUUGAGGAGGGGAUCGCCGGGUAGGAUUAUGCUAUGCGAUGCUACUUGGAGGAUUUCAGUCUACUCUCUUCUACAUGUUGCAAGACGGAGGCUGCCAGAAGCGUAGUCUUCGACAGGAUUAGCUAUCCCCCUCUUAUUCUGGCAUACUGCAGUUCAGUCCACUGAUAUGGCCCUUUACACAUAUAUCCAUGCAUAUGUAGUGUAGCUCCUUGCUUGCGAGUACUUUGGAUGAGUACUCACGGUUGCCUUGUUCCCCCUUUUCCCCCUAUCUCUAUCCGAUUGCUGCGACCAGACGAUGGAUCCCAGGAGCCAGAUGCCACCUUCGACGACGACUCCUACUACGCUGGAGGUGCCUACUACUACGUGCAGCCCGCUGACGACGACCAGGAGUAGUUUAGGAGGAUCCCAGGCAGGAGGCCUGCGCCUCUUUCGAUCUGUAUCCCAGUUUGUGCUAGCCAUCUUAUGGCAACUUGUUUAACUUAUGUCUGUACUCAGAUAUUGUUGCUUCCGCUGACUCGUCUAUGAUCGAGCACUUGUAUUCGAGCCCUCGAGGCCCCUGGCUUGUAUUAUGAUGCUUGUAUGACUUAUUUAUGUUUUAGAGUUGUGUUGUGAUAUCUUCCCGUGAGUCCCUGAUCUUGAUCGUACACGUUUGCGUGCAUGAUUAGUGUACGAUUGAAUCAGGGGCGUCACACAAGGGUGCCUGUCGAGAGCGGCGUGUUGUCGGGGGAGGUUUUUGGGUGCGGGCAGCGGCCUGGGCAAUGUCCAACCGGCCGGAACUGGGCGACAACGGUGAAGGCAGGGUGCCCGGGUGUCUUAGUUUUGGACGGGAGAGGAGGGUAAUUGCCAAUGUGCCACCGAAUGACAGGCUAGGGGGAGGACAAGGACGGGCGUCGCGUGCGUCCACGUCAUGUCCGUGCUGAUGCAAACCCGACUCAAAUCUUGUCCUGAAAUGAGUCGCGAGCAGACAAAAAGCGGACACUCGCCCGUUUGCGUCGGCACAUUGGGCCGCAGUUUGUGUUCAUUUCGACCCAAACCGACGUGCAUAGACAGAACGCGUCGGCGCAUUGGAGUUGGUCUUAGACACCACCCUCAUUGCAAGAAAUGUGCACGCAGUGGCAAAGAAAAGCUGCCAGACCAGGGGCACCCCACGCUCAUAGGGGUGGGGAACGACCCAACAUGGUUGGACGGUGGAGUGGCAGGCAGAAGGGGGCGUCAAGAGUACUCCAGCAUCCUUUAUAAGAGUAAUUCGGUGAUGGUCGAUGUAUCAACAUGUAAUAUCCACAAAUUUCCUGCGGCUCGAAGCAGCCGCAAAAACAAUAUAUGUGUACAAAUUAAAUAUGUACCCCGUGAGCUAGCAGAAAGUACCCAACGAAUCUUACAUCGUUCAUAGCGGUGAAGGUAUACGCGUAUGUACUAUGUUCUGCUCGGUGACUCAUACGUCUCAAACUUACCUAUAAUUUUUGAUUGAUUCAUGCUAUUAUAAUACCAUCCAUAGCAAUUUAUAUUGUUUUUCUGAACUAAACUAUAAAUUCAAUGCCUAGAGCCAGUUACUGUUUUCUGCAUGUUUUUGAUUUGACAGAAAAUCAUUCGGCAUGCGUUAAGCCUGUCGAUUCACAAAACAAUAAAUAGAAGUUCAACCUUCGCCAUGUGGGCCAACUUAUAAGGCGAGCCCACAUCCUGGGAAGGUGCUAAAGUUGUUCCAACCGAAGAUACCAAUGUUGUCUUCAUCAAAUUGGAAAAUAUGAAUUUUCUAGUUUGACCCCUUUGAACUCGUAAAAAAAUUGGUUUGAUUUCAUCUUGUUUUGUAUUAUUUGGCUUCGUUUCUUUCUGAGGCCCGUAAGCUACAUAUCUACCCAUCCAAACGUUGCUCAAUCGGCCCAAAAUAAAUUCCCCAAAAGCCCAAUCAACCCUGCAACAAAACACCCCACCUUUCCUCCUUUCUUCCGCCGCCGCUAGAGUUUCCUCUUCUAGUUAGGGUUUCCUCGAUCCCCAAUUUCCCCACCCCAACCCUAGCUCCGAUCCACCCGAUGGCGGCCGCAGAGGGCAAGAAGAAGAUCAUCAAGCUCAAGAGUUCAGACGGUAAGGAGUUUGAGGUGGAGCAGGCGGUGGCCAUGGAGUCGCAAAUGAUCCGGCACAUGAUCGAGGACGACUAUACUGACAACGGCUUGUUGCUCCACAAUGUCAACUCAAAGAUCCUCUCCAAGGUCAUUGAGUACUGCAACAAACACGUCCAAGCAAAGGCCGCCGACACAUCUGAUUUUGGAGGAGGAGCUAGGCCGUUAGGUGCUACAUCGGCUGUGCCUGCGGCGCCCACAGAGGACCUCAAAAACUGGGACGCCAAUUUCGUCAAGGUCGACACGGCCACCAUAUUCGACCUCGCACUGGUGUGAUUACUUUCCAUCCUUUGAUUUGUUCCUUGAAAUUCUCUAGAUCUAUUUUUUUACUAUCCCCCAUUGAUGGAAUCAAGAUUGUUUUUGUUUAGUUUGGCUUGUUACUUGUGUCUGAUUGAGAUUUGGAUAGAUUGGAAUAUGUCCUCGUACCUUCAUCAAGGUAGAUUUGACUCGAUUGGAUUAGGUUAGGUUACACAAUGGAUUAGGUUUAGGUCACAAAGAGUUGUUAUUGGCGAUGUAGAAAGCAGCCGACCAUACAUACUAACCCUAAUAGCUAGGUUCGCGCAUUAUCUGGGGAGCUAUAUUAAUUUACAUUUCCAUGUUCAUCUGGUCUAAUAUGCUUCACUAUAUAUGAAUAACCUAGAAACAUUUUAAAUUAUUAGAUUCACUAUUAUUUUGUUUGUAGACUACAUAUAUGGGAUGAUGAUUGAGUGGUUUCUCUUUCAAUAACUUGCGGAAACAUCAGACCACACAGAGCAAUAUAUGGUCUGAUGUUUCUAUAUUUGUCACUGUUGUUUCUAGAUUUGAACCAUGCAUGAAUGUCCAUAUCUAGUGUGAAAUUAUGAUCUUGUAUGCUAGACUUUAGUAGAUCUGCUCUGAAUUUGUUUAGUUAUGUUGGUUUAUCAUAGAUAGGGUGGUUUGUCGCAUGUGUCAUCCUUAGUUAUAAUACAUAAAUCCAAUAUCAUACAUUACUACUUUGAUAUUUGUAAUUAUGCAUUGUAGAUCACACACUUCUUUCUAAUUUUGCUAUCUAUGUCUUUAUUAUCUUAUAGGUUUCACUACUGGUCCAUAUGUCAACAAUGAAUGCCUUUUUCUUCUAUCUAGCAUCGAGUUACUAUUUAUUUUGCUGUAUACAUAGUGAUAGCUAAAUCACAUCAACAUGCUAAUGUUUCUAACUUUGUAUCAAAUAUUUAUGAUCUCAACUAAUCUUUUAGAUACCACUAUUGAUCCAUGUCAUCUACGAAUGCCUUCUUCUAUCUAGCAUUGGUUGAGUAUUGAUUGUGGUUCUAUUAACAUUACAUCCUUGUAGCUAAAUCACGAGAUGAUACAUUGUGCCUGUCCAUGUUAGAAGUGAUGAUGCUUUCCAUCGUUUGAAGUGAAACCACACAUGACUUCCCAUGGCCACUAUAAAAUCCUGAUCUUGUUUGCAAGAGUUUAGCACUAUUUACUUUUAGUUUCUUUUCUUAUAGUUAUCUUAUUUUAUCAUAGAUAAGAUUUCGAUCUCACAUGUGCCAUCUUCACUUGCAAUACAUAUUCCAGUUUCAUAUAUUACUGACCCCUAAACACAUGUUUUGUGUUGUGGUUUGAUUUUACUAUGAUAGAUAACUAUGUUUCUAACUUUAUUGUUCCCUGCGGAUCAUUUAUCAUGAGGAAUGUAUGUAGCUGUGUCUGAUCUCACUCUAUUUUGUGACAGUUAUGUUAACUUUUCUUGACUAUCGAUCCAUUUAUGUUAACCCCUUUGAAUGAAUAUCUUUUGAUUAUUGCACACCUUGUUUUGUGUUUUAGUUUGUCGCAAAAACCUCUAUGUAGGUGGUAUAUGUAAUUAUCCAUGUUUUUGUAAACCAAUGCUUCCCUCUGACACACCAUUAUUCCUUUUGCUCUUUUGCCCCCUCCCAGGCUGCGAACCACCUCAACAUCAGGGGGCUCCUAGACCUGACUUGCCAGACCAUCGCCGACAUGAUCACGGGAAAGACGCCAGAGGAGAUCCGCAAGAUCUUCAACAUCAAUGAGAAAUUAAGACCCGAGGAGGAGGAGAAGAUCCGCAGGGAAAACCAAUGGGCCUUUGAGUAGAGGAACAUCUAGGCCGCGCUGAAGUAAUGAACACUUAGUAUUACCCAUGUCUACAUUUCAGUGUGCUUGUUUAUGUCAUAAUGGUUGUAAUGAACCAAGAGUCUAUAAGGUGGUGUUGGUGAACUUAUUCAGUGGUUAUGUUUGCAAAAAUAAUAUGGUGGUCAUCAAUUAUCAUUUGUCAAAUGAAUCGUUAUUGUCAAGUUGAUGUUUUGCUUGCUUAUCAUUAUUUUUUCACUGAUUUCCACCAUGUGAUUUGGGCUUCUUCGUUGGUUAUUCAUGUCUGUUUUGUUCAUCGAUCAAGAUGCAUGGAUGCUCUUGUUACUUAAGAGACGGUCCUUGUUCUUCCGCUCUCUCUUUACAAUCCUAAUAAAAUAAAAAUAAAAGUUGUUGCUUAAAUUAUUUGAGGGAUCAAACUAAUUUUAGAAGACCUGAAAUUUUUAUGGUAACCACUUACGACCAUGGCAAGGCCACACUAAAACAUAUAGGGUUUUAGGAUUAUAUUUACAAUUUUUUUUACAAAAAAUCCAUUUAAAUGAAUAAAAGAGUGAUGUUAUUCUCUACUGACUGCAGAACCACGCCGCACCAGAAUCAGUUAACCCUCGUACACCUCUCCGUCUGUGACUCCACUGCCGAGUCUUCCCAUCACCGGCUCGUUGCCGUCCGGGGCCUCGCCGUUGUCCACCGCCUUGGUGCGCUCGGCACGGCGUGGUCAACGUGGUCAACAAACGAGAGUCGUCGGAAGAGGAUUAUACGUGGAGAGGCUGACAGUGGGGAUGCACCAGGUCCAUGGACGCACACUGCAACCGCCUCCUUGUGACGCGAAAAUAAAAAUUAUUCCUCCCCAUGAAAGCUGGGACCCACCAUGUAUAUCUUCGCAAGGAAGGAAGUGCCUCCUUAUGCCUGCUCCUGACAGCUGGGACCCACCAACAACAUCUUUGCUCCCAAGGAAGUGACUCCUUAUUAUGGGCAAAAAAUAUAUGAUUCCGCCUCUGACCACUGGGACCCACCAGCUAUAUAUUCACACACAAGGAAAUGCCUCCUUGCCCCCCGACAGCUGGAACCCACCUGGUCGAAGCAUACGUAGCGUUGUCUGUGUACAUACCGGUCGAUCGGUCUGUUUGCCACGAUGAACCAUGUCCGAGUAAGGAGCGGUAGCAGUUGAGGCAAUCCAGUCAAAACAGAGUACACGUACGGACAACCAGAUGCUAAAAAAUACAUCCACGUACGUACAUACGGGUGUGGUCUCGAACGCAUACUCGCGCAUACGUAAUGUGUCGUGUUCAUCGGGAGGCAACAUAAUGCGUCGUGUUUAUUGGGAGGCAAUGGAAUAUGUCGUGUUCAUUAGGAGCCAACCGGCUUAGAUGUAAUAGCCGAAACGAGGUCUGGCGUACCACAGAACGGAGGAAAUGGGCCUUCUGUUGGGCCACGUACGGUCGAAAUGGGUCCUGUUUAUCGGGAAGGGUCUGGCCUACCGCAAAACAGAGGAAAAAAACUUGUAUUCGAGUGCCUACGGUCGAAACGGGGUCCUGUUGAUAGGGAGGGGUGUGGCGUACCGUAAAACGGAGGAAACGGACUUGUGUUGGAGCGCUUACGGUCAAAACAAGGUCCUGUUCAUCCACCAUCUACUGCUGCGCCCCAGCCUCCACGAGCUACUAUUUAUCCACCAUCGACCUCCUCCAGCCUCCACCAGCUACUGUUCAUCCACCGGCUACUAUGCAUAGAGGCUCCAGAGGGUCCUGUUCAUCCACCCCCAACCGGCUAGGGUGCGAUGGCCUCCUUGGGGUCCUGUUCAUCCCGCGGCAACGGCCUACUACCACGGGGUCCUCUUCAUCAAACCCCCACCGGGAACUGUUCAUCCACAACCAACCAACCGGCUCGACUCACCAUGUCUUGACUCGUUCUACGUACCAUGUGCACGGUAGCAACGGUCACUGAUCAUCGAGAGUCAACCCAACACUGGCUGGCUACGUCUCGCACGGGGGCUCGAUCGGCUUCAAUAAGCAGCAGAUGCGAGCAAUCGCUCGGGUUCAGUUAGGAGCAAUAGCGAAGGAAUCGCUCGGGUUUAGUCAGCAGUGAAUGAAUCACUCGAGUUCAGUUAAUAGCCAAGGGAUCAAUCGCUCGGCUUCAGUAACGUAGCUAGCAGUGCGAUCGCUCGGUUUAGUUAGAGCCCAACGCCUCGCACACACGCAUGUACACAAGCGAAACGCACAAACCACAAUGCAUUGCCCAGCCCCGACCACCCACCGUAACCUGGAACUCCCCCAUAUUUUCCUCGCCCUCGCUUCUACCAUGAUUUUUCCCGUCAUGGACGGCCCAAAGAAUGUCAUGCAGCCGCGUCUCCGGCCUGCCCAGGACGAAAAACCCAUUUUCAUGGACCUAUCAUCUCAUUUUCGUCCUGUGAAAUCUCUGAUCCUAUUCUCUAUAUAUGCAGCAUGGUCUAUUAUGUAGCAAUAGCACGGUCUAUUAUGCUCUGUUACCGGCAGUAAUGUCAGUUGUUCUCUAGUAUUUGUCAUCGCAGUGCUCUCCUUCCUGUUGUUCCAUAUUUUGUAGCUGCAUCUUUGAUGUGUAUACGUUGUUGAUGUGUUGUCUUGGUAUAAGUAAAGCUGACUACUUCUGUCCUUUGUCGUCAAAUGAAGUCAUGAUAUGUUGUUAGCAACCUAGGACAGGAGGUAUUUGUUCAAGUUUGCAGUUCCAAGAUCCAUUGCUGAUGAAUAUGGAGUCAUUAAUAUUUAUUCUAUUUUUCCAAGAAAUGCUUCACUUGUAAGUUAUAACACCAGUCACAGACAACACACUUAACAAUUUUCGCGUGUCCCCUAUUACAUUUGACAGGGUCGAUUCGAAAUCCUAUGCCUCUGUGGAUCAUACCUGGUGAUAGAUGACGGCGUUUCACGCACAUGGAAUGGAGGUCUAUGCAUAGCGCUGUGUGGCGCUGAUCGCAGGGUGAUUGGAGGAAGCGUUGGUGGAGUCCUGACAGCAGCCGGGACAAUUCAGGUGAUCACUCGCUUCUUUUUUUUUCACUGAAACAUCAGCAUUUCAUUAAUUCAUCCUUGGUCUGUUGUGUUCCAGAAAUGAAUGAUGAGGUGAUUGUGCGUGUUGGUGCAGGUGAUUGUGGGGAGCUUCAUGUACGCGGGGUUGAAGAAGAGCAGGAAGGGCAAGGCUGGGAAGGAGUCUGCUGCGGCGGAGGAAGAACAGACCGGCGAUGCGAACGGGGGCAGGGGCAGGGGCGAAGAUGGAGUUGGAGGCGAGGCGGAGGAAGAGGGGCCUUCGCCGCUGAUGCCGAUGCCCCGCGGAGAGGAGGAGCUGCCGUCGGACGCGAUGAUGAGCGGGUGGACGGGCAUGAUGCGGCAGAUGGAGUCGCGGUCCUGCGGCAUGGACAUCAACUCGAUCCGAGAGUGAAGGAUGUAGACUGUUUAAUUAGUUUUGUUUUCCUCGCCCUCGCUUCUACCAUGAUUUUUCCCGUCAUGGACGGCCCAAAGAAUGUCAUGCAGCCGCGUCUCCGGCCUGCCCAGGACGAAAAACCCAUUUUCAUGGACCUAUCAUCUCAUUUUCGUCCUGUGAAAUCUCUGAUCCUAUUCUUUAUAUAUGCAACAUGGUCUAGCACGGUCUAUUAUGCUCUGUUACCGGCAGUAAUGUCAGUUGUUCUCUAGUAUUUGUCAUCGCAGUGCUCUCCUUCCUGUGGUUCCAUAUUUUGUAGCUGCAUCUUUGAUGUGUAUACGUUGUUGAUGUGUUGUCUUGGUAUAAGUAAAGCUGACUACUUCUGUUCUUUGUCGUCAAAUGAAGUCAUGAUAUGUUGUUAGCAACCUAGGACAGGAGGUAUUUGUUCAAGUUUGCAGUUCCAAGAUCCAUUGCUGAUGAAUAUGGAGUCAUUAAUAUGUAUUCUAUUUUCCAAGAAAUGCUUCACUUGUAAGUUAUGACACCAGUCACAGACAACACACUUAACAAUUUUCGCGUGUCCCCGAUUACAUUUGACAGGGUCGAUUCAAAAUCCUAUGCCUCUGUGGAUCAUACCUGGUGAUAGAUGACGGCGUUUCACGCACACAGAAUGGAGGUCUAUGCAUAGCGCUGUGUGGCGCUGAUCGCAGGGUGCACUGGUGGAAAAAGGGCCUUUGGUCGCGGUUCACAACUGCCAUUAGUCGCAGUUGCGCAACCGCGACCAAAUAGGCGCGACUAAAGGCCCCCCCUUUAGUCGCGGUUGCUUAAGAACCGCGACUAAAGGCCCGUCCACGUGGGCGCCAGUCGGCCGUCGGGGCGGAGGACCUUUAGUCGCGGUUCUUCUGGCCAACCGCGAGUAAAGGCCGCCGCAGGUUUAGGGUUUUAGCCCCCCCUAAACCUGUUUUCUGUUUAAUUUGUAUUGUUUUAUUUCUUUUGUGCUUUAUUUUAAUUUUGAAGGAGUUUCACAUAUUCUACGGUACUACAUACAUGCAUAUGAAUGUACAAUUUCAAACAAAUUUGAAAUUAGAACCAAAAAGAAUUCAAGAGGAAUAUACAAUAUAUAUUCAAUAUCAUCGGAUGACCAUAUACAAUUUUGAACAAGUUUCCAUACAUAAUUUAAUGCAUAUAAAGUUCUACGUCCUCGUAAUGGUGUUCUCCUUUAGGAUGGAGGACUUCCCUCCUGAACCAUCCAGCUAGUUCCUCUUGAAGUGGUCGGAAGCGAGCUUCUGGACUAAGCAUCAUCCGGAGGUUAUUCCUCUGAGCAUUGGUAUCACUCGGAACCCGCUCAGAGGUGUAUCUCCGGAUCAUCUCACAGACAUAGUAUGCACAUAGAUUGGUCCCCGCUGGCUGAAUAUCCUCACCAUUCUUAGCCUUUGACCUUUUGAAUUCUAGCUCUUUUUUGAAUUCACCGACCUUUGUAUCUACGAACCGUCUCCAAACCCUACGAGGCAAAGAAAAUUAAAUGAACAAGAGAGUUAUUAGUUACUUGAUAUUAGGAAAUGAACGAAAUAGGCCGAUCGAUAUAGAGCGCAAAUGAAUGAAAAUAAUUACUUCUGCAGCAUUCUUCUCAUGCCUCCCCAAAGCUUUGGAUCCUUAUUCAGAGAGUCGUGGACGAGACAUUCUGAGGUGUCAACUUUAAUUACUAGCAGAAUCCAGUGGAACCUGCGGACACGAUACAUGCACAGUACGUCAUGCAUAACUCAUCGAUUAGCCGGCCACAUACCAUGCAUGGAGUAAACAAAAGAGAAUGUGCUCAAGACAGAAACACUCACCCAAAAUGGUAAGGAAAUAGAAUAUCACUUUUGAGUUCCUGCUUUGUAAGAAACUGCCACAGGUCUGGCUCCAUGUCGGCGGGGUGAUGCUCCAACACAUAUCCAUUAACAAUGUGUGGGUCAAUGAACCCAACAUCAUGGAUGUUCCUUACUCUGCAUUCCUUAAUCUUCAUUCUGCAUGUAUAAUAGAGGACACAACAAUAUAGUUAGGACAUAUAUAUAGUGCAGGCAAUAUGAACGAGAUGGGGUAGAAAUAAAUCACUUACAGAACGUAGCAACUGAUGAUAGAUUUGUCGAGCUCGCGCAUAUUGAAAAGCUGGAACAAUUCACUCAGAUGAAUUUGUACAUAGUAAUGUUUGAAGUGAUUCUCAUAUCUAACUUCCGCAUAAAUAUAUUCUUUGGCGUUUUCAUUUUUUAUGUAACCCUUGUAGCAUUUCAGCAGACCUUUCAUUUGUGGAGGUAGAUCCUCUUCCUGCACAGGCUCGACGAGAGGCCCAUUCUUCACAUAUGUAAUUACUACCUCCUUCACUGGCGCCUCAUCAAGGCCUAACAGUUCACGAAGAGUAAUACCUAAGUUGGCCGCUUGUUCUCUGGCACUCGUUACAGUCAAUCCAUGUGCUGCCGCAGCUGCUAUGAUAUCGGGGUCAUCCGGACCAGCGGCUUUCACUAUAAGCGGGGCAAUCGAUUGUUUACUUUGUUCCCCGAGCUGGGCAACUCGUUUCCCGCUUUUUUUACUUUCUAAUUCCGUUUCCUCGGCCUCCUCCAAGGCUUUGUUCUCCUGGUUCUCCGCCCGCUCUUUCUUCUCCUUCAACAUGAGUGCCUGCCUACGAAGUUCACGUGCAUAGUCGUCAGGCAGAUUCUUCGCGGCUUGGGACGGUGUGCUCAAAAAUGACUUAGCCCACUUCUUUUGCUCAUCAGAAAAUACUGGCUUGGGCUCAGGCUCUCUUUUCUUCUUGCAGUCCGCCUUCCAUUUCUCAUGAUCAGCAGCCGCGGCCGCGGCAGUUUCCUCGGCACUACGUUCCCAAGGCCUUGUGGGGAGAGGCUUCAGUGAUGGCUCCGGUACCUUUGUGGUCUUAGGUACAUAAGGGUCCGGGUUAAUAAUCCAGGACUGCUUCUGCUUCUUUGCCGGAGGUGGAUUGGGGGGCGGCGUCUGAUCACCCGCCGGACGAGGACUGGGGGGCGGCGUCUGAUCACCCGCCGGACGUUGUGGACUAGGGGGCGUCGGCUGACGUGAUGGAGGUGUAGGUGAACCGCCACCACCGUAGGGGGGGUGGACUUGUUGUCCUUGGCGCCUCGCCUGGAAACUUGAUAAACUUCUUUUGCCAUAGAAUGAAAUGGCGCUUGACAUCUCCAAGUCUUUUCUCCCCUUCAGGUGUAGCAAUGUCAAUCUCCAGGUCCUCAAACCCUUGGACUAUGUCCUCCACCGUGACACGAGCAUAGCCAUCUUGAAUGGGGUUGUUGUGGUGGAGUGCUCCAGGUAAACAUGGUAAAGCACUGCCGAUGGCUACCUUCAUGGACAUGUUCCCGAUAGGAUAAUACAGAUGACAUUCUUUCAUCUCCUUUAUAUCGUCCACGGGGUAGCGAGGAGGCUCCGGUGCAGUAAUUUCGACCACCAGAGGCUCCGGUGCAGUAAUUUCGACCACCAGAGGCUCCGGUGCAGUAAUUUCGAUCGUUGGUGCAUCUGCACCAGCCGGUGGGGCCUCCGUGGAAGCCACACUGCUUCUUCGCUGCUGGCUUCUGAGAUCCGCUGGAUGAUCUUCAUGCUGCGCCCGAGCUGCAUCUCUUUCGGCUACUAGUACACUCACGGUUUUCUUCAUCACAUCCAUUUCCGAUGCCAACCGCACCACAACAUCUGCUUCCCGAUCCAUCUUUCUCUUCCGGCUUCUGUAACCGUACGGGUCAUCAUUCUGGGGGAACCCUAUUUUCCACGGAAUGUGCCCCAUGCCUCGUACACGUCCUCCGUGUUCAGGAUUCCCGAGGGCUUUUGUCAGCGCAUCGUUCUCUCUGUUGAACUUGAUCUUCCCCUCUUGAGCAUCCCUCAUUGCGUCAAUAAGGGCUUGGGUGGGUUUAAUUAUUUUGCCCGGUAAACACACUCCCCUGUCUCCGGGUUCAGCGUUCCCCCAUGCCCGUACCACCAGCUUUUGGCCCUUGGGUCCCAUCCCUCCGUACCUGGACGGAUUCCUCGCGCCCUCAGCUCGUUCUCCAUCUUCUCCCACCUAGGCUCCCAAAGGCGAUACCCUCCUGGCCCCAUAAUAUGAUUGUACUCCUUCUUAGCCGCAUUUUCCUUAUUUUUUUUCGAUAUUUGAAUGAACUGCUCCAAUUUCUUUUGCUUCACAAAUUCUGGCCAAUCAUGUUUCAGUUUCUCAUAUUGUCCUUUGAAAUCCGGAGUCUUGUUCUGCUUGACAAAGUCAUGGGCUAGAUUUUGCUUGAAUUUCCGGAAUGCGUCGGCCAUCUUAUGAAGAGCGAACUGUUUGACUAGCCUCCUCCUCUCCUUGUUUUCCUCAAUCUUGUUACCCUCCUCAUCGAAUUUGUUGUAUUCCGGAGGUAGAACGAAAUGUUCCAUAAGCUUCUUGAAGCAAUCUUUUUUUGUUCUCUUAUCGACAAAAGUGAAACCAGCAAUUCGUGCCUUCUUUGGCUUAUUCCACUCCUGGACGGUGAUCGAGACGUUGUCUCUAACAACGGCUCCGCAUUGGUUGACAAACUUGGUGGCGUUCUUGCGGGGCUCCAGCGGCCUGCCGGUUGCACUGUCGACAACCUCGAUGGUGCAUGUUUCUCCUUGUUUCAUCGUCUUGGUUGCGCCACGCUUUGACAACGUACUCGAUUGUUUCGACGAUCCGGCCGAGGGCUAAAAUAAGAAAGAGAGUCGCGCGCGUUAGUACACACAUAUUUAUUCAAAUCAGUUAGUUUGUAUCACCAGAGGCUCAAUGUAUAUAUAUACUUCAGCGCCGGAGGUGGUUGCUACUUCCAUUUGAAGAUCGUCGUUUAUCGACGUUUGUUCGGCAUCAUCUUGCUGACGGCGCCCUUCAUCUUCACCGUCAAGGUUCAGAUAAGAAGAGAUAUCAUCUUCUUCUUGUCCGGUCGGCACAUAUAGAAUAUCGCCGUUUAUGAUGCCAAACAUAUGUGCUUCACCGUCCGGAUCAUAGUUGUCCAUAAUCGGGUCAGCUCUAUCGUCCGCCAUUAUGUCAGUCCUGAAAACAUGUAGUAAAAACAAAUUAAUUAAGUGAAGAAGGGGGGUGGUGGCGGUGGCGGUGGCGAAAGGGCGGUGGCAAAAGGAGGGGGCGAGGAAGGGGUGGGAGAGGGUGUCGCGGUAGAGCGCGAGACGGGGCGGCAGACGACGGCGUCACGGAGAGGGAGGCGAGGACAACACACAUGUAUAACCCUCGCCGCCCCCUCUCGAUCCCAAAAAAAAACACCGCGCGCAUCGCCGCCCCCCUCGCCUCCCCCUCUCCGUAUAUGCGCGGGGUCGUGUACAUUUUUUUAAAGCGGGAUCGUUGUACAUUGACGCGCGGGGUCGUUGUAUAUAUUGAUUAUCAAGUUUUACUUUUUUUGUUGUUAAUUAUCAAGUUUUAUAUACGUUUUUUUGUUAAUUAUCAAAUUUUACGGUUUUUUUGUUAAUUAUCAAGUUUUAAGUUAUUUUACCGUUUUUGUUAAACUAAUUAACUAGUUAAAAUUAAAAAGAACAAAAAAAAAGAAAAAAAAGAAAAAAUUCCGGUGGCCUGCGGCGCCCCUCUCUCUCUCCACGAUCUCGCUCUCUGUCUGAGACCGGUGGCCCGUGCGCGCGCGGCAGUACGGAGGCCGGCCGACNNNNNNNNNNNNNNNNNNNNNNNNNNNNNNNNNNNNNNNNNNNNNNNNNNNNNNNNNNNNNNNNNNNNNNNNNNNNNNNNNNNNNNNNNNNNNNNNNNNNNNNNNNNNNNNNNNNNNNNNNNNNNNNNNNNNNNNNNNNNNNNNNNNNNNNNNNNNNNNNNNNNNNNNNNNNNNNNNNNNNNNNNNNNNNNNNNNNNNNNNNNNNNNNNNNNNNNNNNNNNNNNNNNNNNNNNNNNNNNNNNNNNNNNNNNNNNNNNNNNNNNNNNNNNNNNNNNNNNNNNNNNNNNNNNNNNNNNNNNNNNNNNNNNNNNNNNNNNNNNNNNNNNNNNNNNNNNNNNNNNNNNNNNNNNNNNNNNNNNNNNNAGGGCGACGGCGGGCGGCGUCGAGGGCGACGGCGGGCGGCGUCGAGGGCGAGGGCGACGGCGGCAGGCCUUCGGCGCGGUGUUGAAUCGGAGAAGACGAGAAAGGGUUCGGGCCCUUGUAUUUAUAUCCCCCCCUUUAGUCGCGGUUGGGGAGGCGACCCGCGACUAAAGGGUAACCUUUAGUCGUGGUUGGGGAGGCCAUAUCAAAUACCUCAGCACCAGUGCGUUCUGCAGGCUUCGGCCGGUGAUCUGCCUUGCCGUUGUAAUGCUUGCCUUUCUUUCUUACUGGAUGAAUUUUCGGAAGAAAUCGACGAUGCCCAAGGUACACGUUCUUCUUACAAUUUGGCAAAUGUACACUUUCAGUCUCAUGUAAGCAGCGCGUGCAUGCAUUGUAUCCCUUAUUUGACAGUCCCGAAAGGUUACUAAGAGCAGGCCAAUCGUUGAUGGUUACGAAAGGCAACGCUCGUAGGUUAAAUUCCUCUUUUUUGUGCUCAUCCCACACACGGACACCAGGUCUGCCCCACAGCUGUAAAAGUUCAUCAACUAAUGGCCUUAGGUACACAUCGAUGUCGUUGCCGGGUUGCUUCGGACCUUGGAUGAGCACUGGCAUCAUAAUGAACUUCCGCUUCAUGCACAACCAAGGAGGAAGGUUGUAGAUGCAUAGAGUCAUGGGCCAGGUGCUAUGGCUGGAGCUCUGGUCGCCAAAAGGAUUCAUGCCAUCUGUACUUAGACCAAAUCUUAUGUUCCUUGCGUCAGCUGCAAAAUCUUUGAACUCUCUGUCGAUCUUUCUCCAUUGCGUUCCAUCUGCGGUGUGUCUCAACUCCCCGUCCGACUUACGGUCCUCUUUGUGCCAUCGCAACAACUUGGCAUGCUCUUUGUUCCUGAACAGACGUUUCGACCGUGGUAUUAUAGGAGCAUACCACAUCACCUUGGCGGGAACCCUCUUCCUGGGUUUCUCGCCCUCAACAUCGUCACCAGGGUCAUCGCCUCUGAUCUUAUAACGCAAUGCAGUGCAUACCGGGCAUUCAUUCAAAUUCUCGUAUUCACCGCGGUAGAGGAUGCAGUCGUUGAUGCAUGCAUGUAUCUUCAGAACCUCUAAACCUAGAGGGCAGACAACCUUCUUUGCUUCGUACGUACUGGCGGGCAACUCGUUAUUCUUUGGAAACAUAUUCUUCAACAUUUUCAGCAAGUUUUCAAAUGCCGAGUCAGCUACACCUGCCCGUGCCUUCCAUUUCAGCAAAUCCAGUGUGCAGCCCAGCUUUUUCAGACCAUCAUCGCAUCCGGGGUACAACGACUUUCUGUGAUCCUCUAACAUGCGAUCCAAAUUCUCCCUCUCCUUUUCAGUUUCGCAGCGUCUUCGUGCAUCAGCAAUGGUCCGACCAAGAUCAUCAACGGUCUCAUCACGUGCCUCUUCUUCACCUUCACCUUCCCCUUCACCUUCCCCUUCACCUUCAGCAUCCUCCAUGAAAGUAUCACCGAAAUGAGCAAGAUAGCUUUCAUCGAUGAAAUCAUCCCCUUCUUCAUCUUCUUCCAUUAUAACCCCUCUUUCUCCAUGCUUGGUCCAACAAUUAUAGCUUGGCAUGAAACCGUGCCGAAGCAGGUGCAGGUGAACUUCUCUUGAGGAAGAGUAACCCUUCUGAUUCUUACAGUCAACACAUGGACAGAUAACAAAACCCUUCUGCUUGUUCGCAUUAGCCACUACGAGGAAAUCUUUCAAACCCGUAGUGAACUCGCGGGAGAGUCGGUUACCGUACAUCCAUUGCCGAUUCAUCUGCAUUAUUAUAAUAUACAAUAUAUAAUUAACUAUCAUGCAUUUGUUAAACUAACUAGCUAUAAACAAUAGAAAUUAAACAAUGAACAACACACAUGCAUAUUUUAUCAAUGACACACAUGCAUGAAAGGUUCGAGUUGCUAACCGCGAUCGAGGAGGAAAAAAUAAAUGAGGAACCUCAAGUGUGGCUCCAACACUUCAUAUCAUGUUUGUUUCACCCUCUUGGGGCAUUUCAUCAAACACCUUGUGUGCAUAAGAGGAACCAAAAGCAAACCUACACCCCCUUGUGAAGCUUGUGAAGAGAAGUGGCACCAAAUGGCUAAGUGAGCGUGCUGAACUGGUAUAUAUAGGGGAGGAGCUUUAGUCGCGGUUGGCCUGGCCAACCGCGACUAAAGGCCUUUGGGCACCUUUAGUCGCGGUUGGCCUGGCCAACCGCGACUAAAGCCCCUCACGUGCACCAGCUGGCCACCGAGCGCCCUGGGCCCAGGCCUUUGGUCGCGGUUCGUCUGCCGAACCGCGACUAAAGACUUCAUUAGUCGCGGUUCCUACAGUUUUGCGACUAAUGGGGCUGGACGGAAGCCUCUUUUUCUACCAGUGGCGAUUGGAGGAAGCAUUGGUGGAGUCCUGACAGCAGCCGGGACAGUUCAGGUGAUCACUCGCUUCUUUUUUUUUCACUGAAACAUCAUCAUUUAAUUAAUUAAUCCUUGGUCUAUUGUGUUCCAGAAAUGAAUGAUGAGGUGAUUGUGCGUGUUGGUGCAGGUGAUUGUGGGGAGCUUCAUGUACGCGGGGUCGAAGAAGAGCAGGAAGGGCAAGGCCGGGCAGGAGUCUGCCGCGGCGGAGGAAGAACAGACCGGCGAUGCGAACGGGGGCUGGGGCAGGGGCGAAGAUGGAGUUGGAGGCGAGGCAUAGGAAGAGGGGCCUUCGCCGCUGAUGCCGAUGCCCCACGGAGAGGAGGAGCUGCCGUCAGACGCGAUGAUGAGCGGGUGGACGGGCAUGAUGCGGCAGAUGGAGUCGCGGUCCUGUGGCAUCGACAUCAACUCUAUCCGAGAGUGAAGGAUGUAGACUGUUUAAUUAGUUUGGUACGGCGGAAGUUGAGCCUAGUCUAGCUUAGCUAGUGGAUGAUGGAUGAUUCUAGGGUUUGGUUGGGUUGGUUGUGUUCCUCUCCUGCGUGGGUGUAAAAAGAAGUCUAGUUAGUAUAAUGAAUGUCAUCGUUGAGUAUGAUCAGUUUAACCGAUGAUGUUGGCGCCGGUCGGUCGGGCGGAUCUAUGAUGGAAAUAGUGGAUUCGGUUGUUGGUUGAUGGUCUGGUCUGGUAUGGUAUGGUAUGGUAUGAUGUAGUUAUAGGCAGCAGCAAUGAGCAACUUGUUUGUAGCUAGUCUCUUUCUUGGUUGCAGACAGACAGACAGACA
rnacentral:lncRNA from 1 species